rnacentral:lncRNA from 1 species
AGAAGUUGAACUUGCAUAUUUAGAAUUUCUCUCCCUAUGGUAACAAUUAUAUAAGUUGACUUUGAAUUUUUUUUUAUUAAAACAUCUGCAGAAAGUAAAAAAAAAAAAGAAGUAUAAGUUGACUUAAAAAGAUAAAAUUUAAUUUUAUGUAUCAUCCGCGUAAAAUAAAAUCUAUUUUGGUCACGGUUUAAUGAAACUUAAUGAUAUAUAAAAUAUCAUAAUAUUUGAAGGAGUAUGGAUGUUUUUGUAUGAAGAAAAUAUAUUUGAUGAAAACCUUCUCCGAUUCACUAAUGAACCAAAACAUUGAAACCGCUCGCGCCAUCAUUUCCAAAUGGGAACUUAUUUCUCCUUCUGACCAAACCGCCCCUCUAUUCAGCAACACACGCCAAGAAGCCAAACAGUACCUUAAUUACUGACCAAACGCUGUCAAGAUCGCCGUUGGCACUCUCUUUCACGGCGAGAGAACGCUCUGCAACUACGUCUUCGGUUCGCCGGAGAGGAAGACCGCGGAGAAAAUGUUCAGGACGCUGGAUUUGUACGAAGCGAUCUCUGAAAACCGUCAACAAAUUGAGUCCAUCUUCUCCUCUGAAUCAACAUCCUCCAUCAGAUCGCAGGUACUUGCUUCUCAAACGAGGCUCGGCGAGGCGGUUCGGACGAUGUUAAACAACUUCGAAUCCGCGAUUCAGAAGGGAUCCUCCAAGAUUCCGGUGCCUGGUGGCGAGAUCCACCCGCUCACGAGCUACGUCACGAACUACAUCGCGUUCCUCGCCGAUUGGCCGCAAAAUCUGUUGCCGGAGUCUUACUACCGUAGUCCCGAUUAGCUGAACGGAUGGCGUGGUUGAUAUUAGAGCUCCUCUACAAGGAGGUCCGCAACUCAAACCUAGGGUUCAUCCUCGGGGAGAAUUGGUUGACGAAGCAUGAAUUGAAGGUGAAAGAGUAUGCUUCCAAGUACGAGCGCGUGGGAAGGAAACGGUUUUUAACGUUAAGCACCUGCAAUGCAACUAUGCAUCUUGAAAGAUGCGUUUAAGAUCUUUGUUCUCUUCAUUCUCUGGAUGUAUCGCUCUAACUUUAUACUCUUGCAUGCUCGUGUUUGACGGAGAUGAAGCAGCUGAAAUUUUAACUCAGUUCGCUUCCUUUUUCUUAUGUUUUUUAUGCAACUAAAGUUAUAUGCGCAUCAUAUAUGCUACACAAAGUAAAUACAGUAUGAUACCAUAUAUAUUAUCCUAGAGAUUAUUAUUUAUUGAGAAUCAAACAUGAAUAAUAUCAAAACNNNNNNNNNNNNNNNNNNNNNNNNNNNNNNNNNNNNNNNNNNNNNNNNNNNNNNNNNNNNNNNNNNNNNNNNNNNNNNNNNNNNNNNNNNNNNNNNNNNNUUUUUUAUGUUUUUUAUCCAAAUAAAAGUUAAAUGCGCAUUCAUAUUAUCUCCACAAAAGUAAAUACAGUUAGAAUCCCAUAUUAUUUAUCCUAGAGAUUAUUUUUUUUUGAGAAUUCAAACAUUGAAUAAUAUCAAAACUAUUUUUCUGUUCUACUCGUAUCAAAUUAUAAUAUUCGUAUCCUAGCUUAUCUUGCGCCAAAUUACACUAUGGAAAAUAUAUAUAUAUAUAUAUUCAUGUUUAUCCCAUAACAGUAUUUUAAAAUUUAUAUAUUUUGUAAAUCUACAUAUUUCAAUUUUCAAAAAGUUUAUUAUCAUGUAUUAAUUAAGUAUGAGGGGGGUUUAUGUAAGGUUUAAGAAAUAGAUAACAUUUUGUGUAAUGAGACAAAACUAAUGGAAUUAAUACGUGUGUGUAUAUAUAUAUAUAUAUAUAUUGAACAACAAGCCUUAAGAAACUCGAUUGCUUUACUUAAUUUAUUGGAGGGUAUUAUAAUAAUUUAUUGUUUAUUUUUUUGAAAUAAUAAAACCGGUUUCUCUCUCCUGUUCACUCAUUUCUCUCUCUUCUACUCUCUUAUCUUCCUUCCGGCCGCAGUAAAACGUUGAUGGUUUUCAAUUUGCCAAAUGCCAAAACUGCAAGUGCCACACUGAAGUACCAUUCCUCAUCCAAAGAAAUGGUGUUUUUCUUCAGCCACCAAAAUCAAGAUUCAUAAACAAUGCUCACAAAAUACAUAUCACCGUUAUUUAAUCACAAAAACCAUUCUCUGCCAUUAUUUAAUUUUACCAUAUAGUUAUGAUAUUAAAUUAGAUAGUAAUAACGAAACAAUCAGAAGCUAGAACAUUAAAAAAAAAAAUUGUCCCUUUCUCUGCCUAUCAAUUGCCAGGUUUGGUUAGUCAUGGCCGUAAAGUCUAUGAGGGAGCUAGAUGAGGACGUUGGGGUUAAAGACGAACGGGAAGCCAUGGAAGGAUCUUACAGGAAGCCAGAAAGAAUACUGUAAAUUGGUUGCAGUAAAUGAAUAUGAGAGGAGAAAGAUUAGUUUUUUUUUAAAAAAAUAAUAAGUAAAAUCACUAUGAUAUCCUUAAAUAAAUUUAUUAAAACAAUAUAAAGUAUUAACUAGGUUUGUAUCAUACCGAAAAAAAGAGUAUGUAUGCUUAGCAAUCUUUUAUAUAUAUAUAUAUAUUAGUUGAAAAUGUCUUGUCCUUCAAUGCCUAAUAAUUGCGGCGUAAAGGAAGUGUUUAAUAGAAAUAAAUAGUCAACUAUAGUAAGCAAACAUAAGGUAGAUAAGUUAUUUGAAAUAAUAAAGUAAGCGUAAUUUCUUUCUUGUUUUCCCUAUUGAUUGAAUUCCAUAUAUAAGUUGUGGCUUGCAGUUAACCGUCCAAAGCGAACAGACUUGACUGCUUGUAGGUUACUAGAGCUUUAAUUGAUGGGCGAAAGUAGCCCCCAAACAUGAGUUGUGUUGUGGGGGCUUUUAACUAACCCUAUUUUUUAAUAAUUUGACUAGAAAGAAUUGACCUCUUGCAUUUGAGUAGAAAUAAAAAUAAGUAAAUUUUACGUUGAGUAAAAAUAAUUAUAUUAAAAUUUAUCUCAAUUUUAUUUGGAAUAGAUUCAAAUGUAACUACUUCACUUCAAACUUAAUUUUAAUUAAAAAUAGUUUCAUAAAACCAAAAUCGUUCAAAAAAAAUCGUAAACGGCGAGGUAAUGAAACGUUUAAAACAUACCAAAAAAGAAAGCACACGUUUAAAAGAAAGAGAAGAAAAGGGCUUGGUUGCUUCGGUUGACUGUGCUCUUAAUUGCCUCGGAGUUCAUUUGCAUAGCACACCAGUUGCCCUUCAAUUUCCCUUUUAUCCGAAAAAAGAUAAAUUAUUUGUUACAAAUUAAAAAAGAAAAACAAUUCUUGAAUAUCCUCGGCUAAGAAGAAAAAUAAGUGAUAUAAUAAAAAAAAUAUGAUCAGUGAUGUGAUAUAACAAAAAAGAUAAAUUAAAAUUAUAAGUGUUAUUAGGAUGUUUGUAAUUUUGUAUUUAAUAAGUAUCCAAAAAUCACAACUCUGGGCGAGGCUUGUUAUAUUUCAGCCAGCUUGAGGCCAUAUUCUUCUAUAUAUUGAAGAAAAGGUUAGCAAUGCGAUUUUUUAAUAUUUUUUAUUGAUUAAAAUUUACAAAAAAAAAAUAAUAUUUAAGGAGUCUUUUUUAUGAUUUUACAGUUUCAAAUUAAUUUUAACUAAUAUAUUAUAUUAGAAAUUAAGAGUGCGUUAAAGAAAAUAUGAAUAGGACGCACUUCAUUUUUAUAUUAUAAAAUCCAAAAUUGAGUACUUAUUCUAGAGAAUGAGAUUUUCAUUCUCGUGAUAUAAUGAUCUCUGCACAUAAUUCAUAAGAGUGAGUUUGUUAUGGUCAACUUUUAAAAUUUGUUUUCGAAUUAAAUUGUUAUAAUUACGAGUAUGUUAUUAUUUUAAAUUUAAUUGACUCACGUUUUAUAUUUUUUCUUUUUCCUCAUUAAUUACUUAUUGGUCUCCAAACACAAUUACGAGAGCCAGAUUAGUUUCAUAUAUUUAUAUUUUUUAAAAAUUAAAUUGAUAUUAUUAAGAGUAUGUAAUUUUUUAAAUUUAAAUUCAAACUAAAUUAUAAUCUAAUUUAUAUUAAAUUAAUAACUAUUAUUUUAAAUUUAAAUUUAAAUUGUAUUAGCUAUUUGCUAUUAACAUAACAACAAAGACAGAUAAGAGACCCGGGUAUUUAUGCAUAGAAAUGAUAGAAGAAAUAAAGGUAUGAGAAGAAAUUGAACUUUCAUAUUUACGAUUUCUCUCCCAUUAUUAACAACUUGCAUAUGACACAUCAAAUAAAAAAACCACAACUUGCAUAUAAGUUGACUUGAAAUUUUUCAGUAAACAUAUAUCAGCUGUAAUAUUCAAUUUCAAAUGUUAUAAGCAUAUAUAUAAUUCAAUUCCAAGUCGAAUGUUUAUAUAUAUAUAUAUAUAUAUAUAUAUAUAUUAUUCUUAUGUGAUUAUGUGAUAUAUAUAGAUUAAAACGAAAUACAGAAAUUAAAAUAUUUUAAUUUCAAAUUAAAAUUUUAUUUAAUUAUAAAAUCUCGAUAAGAUUUAUAAAAAAUUUUAAAAAUUUAAUUUAUGAUGUCUUAAAAUAUCUAAAACAUAUUAUCAAUAGGACUACUACUAUCAUGAUCAUUUCUACCAUAACUGUCAUGGUCAUCACUAUAAUUAUCUAUCACUACCAAUAUGACUAUUGUCGUUAUCAUCGUUAUCGUCAUCAUCAUCAUUGUGAUUGUCACCAACAUAAUUAUUGUUGUCGAUAGUGACGAUGAGGAUAGACAUAUUAGUGACGACGAUCAUGAUAAUAGUAGUAGUGAUCUUGACGAAAUUAAAUAUUUAAGGUAUUCAAUUUUCUAUUUAAUAAAUCUCAUGAACAAAUUAAAUAUGAUUUUAAUUUAAAUUAAAAAUAUUUUAAUUUUAAUCUUUCAUUUUAAUGUAACUAAUGAGAAUGAUUAUUCUCGGUCUCACACCCACAAAGAGAAUCAUUCUCAUAUAUAUUGUGUUUCUCUAAGUUUUGUAUCAAAUUUCUCCUAUUUUAGACUUAUUUAAUUAUUUUUUACUGGCUCUAAAAUAGUUUGUUUUUUAAAGUUGACAUAUGGAUUACUGGAACCUUUUUUUUUCGAUAAAAGGAACCUGCUAUUUCAAAACCAUGUGAAUAAUGCUUAAUGUAUAUUAUGAAAUAUGAAUCUCUAAUGAAGCACAAAUAGCUGACCAAGUAACUCCAAAUAGCUACCAAAUGAGGACGACCUACGAACAAAAUGCAUUAAACGAGGGAAUUGGUCCAAUUCAAUUAACUCGAAAGGUUAACAUAUUUUACUAGCAAAUUUGAAGUUAUGUAUUGUGCAUGUAUUUUGUAUAAGAGUGUGAUCCUAUCUACUGCUAAAAUUAAACGUUUGAGUCCACUAUUCCGAGUGUUUGAUUUUUUUUUCUCCUGAUCAGUUUCUAAAAAUUACUAUUUUACAAAACAGCUUUUAAAAAAUAAUUUUUAGAUAUAAAAGGGAGAAUUAAUUUUUAGUAAGAGAAGAAGAUGAAAUGGUAUGAGGAAAAACAUAAAUAACAGAAAAUUAAAAGUAUAAAUCAAAAUAACUUAAAUAUUUAAACAAUUUUUAAUUUUAAAAACUAAAAAAGGAGUAUAGUUUUCAAAAAUAAAUUUUAAAAUUUAUUCUUAUCAUAUAGAUUUUUUAUUAUCUAGAAUAAAAAAUAAUUUUUAAAAAUUCGAAACAAACAUGCCCCAAAUUCAAAGUUUUCGGUGGUUUUCAAUUUUCUUAUAGCAUAAACAAGUAUAAAAUCGUUUUUUUUAUAUAAAAAAACAAGUAUACAAUUUCCAAUACAGUUUAGAUUGAACAGAUCUUGACGCCUUAUCACCAUUACUUCGUAUAUCUUACAAACCAAGCUAGUUGACUCAAAUCGUUGGGAUUAUAAUUAGGUUAAAUUAUUCUGUAGAUUCUCAUAUUAUUAUAAUUUUUUAAUUGAAUUUUAAAUUUGUAAUUAAGUUUUUAUUUUAAUUUUUUGUCAAAAAUUUGAUAAACUUAACGAAAUAUUAUAUUAUAUAUACAUAUGUAAGUGCCAAAUGUUAUUCCAUAUAAGCUCAAAUGGUGUUGCCGUGCUCCACAUGGAAUUACCCUACCCCAAUCAUAAAACAUGAAUUUCAUAUUGAUUUAGAAUUUGUAUCUAUGUGUGUAGAUGAUCAAAUAUUUCAUUAAAUUUAAGAGAUUUUUUCACAACAAAUUAACAUGAAAAUCUGAUUACGAAUUUAAAAUUAAUAUAGAGAUUAAUUAAAAAAAUUAAAUACAAAAACUUAAUUAAAAUUUUUGUAAUAAUAGCAGACAUAAAGACUAAUUUAACCUUAUAAUUAUAAUAGUCGUGAGUUGAUACUAAGAAUAAAUGAUUAUGGUCUCCUUUCCUUUUAUAUUUCUUACACAAAACUCUAUCUAUUUUUAAAGUUUACAUAAAAUCUAUUUUAUUUUAUAAAUAUUUAUAUUUAAUAAAAAUAUUUUUUAUAUAAAUUUAAGAAGUAAAUUCUUGUUAUAAUUUUUACAUUUUUAUAAAAAUCUCUUUUAUAUUUUCAAAUAUCAUAAAAAUAUCUUUCCAUUUAUAAGCAUUAUGAUUAAAUCUUUGUAUUGCGGUAAAAAAUUAAAAUUCUUAAAUUCUUAAAUGACAACUAAUUAAAAUAACUUAAAGGGAUAACGAUAAAAUAUUAUAUUAAAAUCUUGAAAAUUAUACUCUUUUUUAUAUUUAAAAUAAAAAUAUUAAUUUAAAUUUUUGUGAUAAGAAAUCUAAUAAUAACUUAACAACAUAAAUUAUUAAUAAGAUAGAAUAAAAUAAUUUUUUCAAAAUAUUUUUCAAGAAAUAAAUAAUAAAAACAUAAAACCAUAUUUAAUUGAUUUAAUUAUGUAUUACUAAUUCACAUGAUUAAGUAUUUAUUAAUUUUUUUGUUGCAAUAAUUUUGAAAUAAUCAUUACUACUAUAUAUACUUUUGUCAUUAAUAAUAUUUAGUUUAUAUCUUAUUAAUUUUAAGUUAUCUUAAAAAUUGUGAUUUAAAUAUUAGUAAUUUCAAUUUUUUACUAUUGCAAAGUAUUUAGUUUUAAUGUAUAUACACUAUAGAAUAGUAUGUAUAAUGUUUAAGAAUAAUUUUGUGUAGGUCUAAUAAAUAAAAGGGCUUUUCUGCAAAUAGAUGGGUAGUAAGAGUAAUUUGUUUUGUUAUAUAAUCACCACUUCCUAUCGUUUUUCCUUGUGAAACUAGUUUUGAAUUUUUUGAGUAAUAUUUUGAAUUCAAGUAUUGUGGAUGAAAAAACGUUGAGUGAAAUAUAUUACAAAAGUAAUUAGUCAUGCUUUUCAAAUAUUAAUUAUAGUAAAAGCUAAUUAAUAUUUCGCAUCCAUACGACUAAAAAAAAGUAUUAAAACAGAAGGAGAAUUGUAACUGCCAAAUAAUUGUAAGUACCAUUUCAUAACAUUAUUCACAUGUAUGUUACAUUGCAUCCUAUUGAAAUGUAGCUGUUACGAAUAUAUUAGGAAAAAAGAAAGUGGGGAAAUACUCAGUCUUAAACAUUUCAAUAGAAAAAUGAUAACUACAACUGUAAUAAAUAAACCCGACGGCACCAAAACUAAAUAAGCAGGACUAAUUCUUUCGUGCUAGUUCGUUCCUUGCUUCACACCAAGACAGAGAAAGAGUUUCAAGUUCGAACUUCGAAACCAAAGCAGUAAAACUAGAUCAGCACGCAUAGAUGCACCAAUUUAAGUCUCGUACUAAAAAAAAUAUAUAAAAACAACAAUAAUAAUUUAUUAUGAGAAAUGGAAAUGACUAAUCACAGUAUUUUUUUUCUAAUUUAAAAAAACAGAGACUCAUUUUUCAAUUUUCAGAUAUAUUAAUACUCUUAACUAAUUGUGAAAUUUAUUAAUGAAAUACUUGCUCAUUUUUUUUUAUGCAAGUGUAUGCAUUUUUUAAGUCAUUCUUUAUUAUGAGUUAUGUCAUUAAACAUAAUUAUCAAUUAAAUUAUUUUAUUUUAUAUAAAAGGCAAGUGGUAGUAUAUGAUAUAUAACAUAUCCAAGAUGUUUCCUAAUUAAUGACACGCUUUGGAAGAUUGUGAAUUGUGUAUUGGCGAGAUCUUUAUUCCCUCCCUCCCAGGUUACUCAUUCUGUUGUGGACCUUGUGAUGGCCUAGCGUAAAAAAAGAAAAAAGAUUCACAUUCAGCUUCUACCGCGUUUGCUUAUCGCUUUCGUCACGUCUUUACUCCCCUCACGAAGCUAUUCAUUCACAUCUACAAAUACCCGCCAAACUGAGCCCAAAACGACCAACACAAACAAGAAAAGGAAUCAUUAAUUCUUUCCGUUCCAGUAGUAGCAGUUUAGUUUAUUUCCUCAACUCAAACUAAAAUGCCGAAAAUGGGACUCAAAAACCUGUUCUUCUUCAAAACAUCACCUUCGCCACCUUCCUCUUCUCCCACAAGAACCUUCUCCGAUUCACUAAUGGACCAAAACAUCGAAACCGCUCGCGCCAUCAUUUCCAAAUGGGAACUUAUUUCCCCUUCUGACCAAGCCGCCCCUCUAUUCAGCAACACACGCCAAGAAGCCAAACAGUACCUUAACGCUGUCAUGAGCCUGCAGUCCACUAUGCAGCACCUCGUCGCACUGGAUUCCUCCUCCGACACCCUCAUCCAAGCCCACUUCCUUAUGCAACUCGCCAUGAAGAGACUCCAGACCGAGUUCUAUCGGAUAUUAACCCAAAACAGAGACAAUCUCGAUCCUGAAUCUGUCGCCUCCACCGAUCACCGGAGCAGCAGCGUCUCCGACGACGGCACCGAUUUCUCCGACGACGAGUUCCGCUUUGCCGGUGACUCGGUCUCCACGGUUGCCAUGGCGGACUUGAAAGCCAUUGCGGAGUGUAUGGUUUCCGCCGGCUACAGCAAAGAGUGCGUCAAGAUUUACAUCUUAAUGAGAAAGUCCAUGGUGGAUGAGGCACUGUACCAUUUCGGAGUGGAGAGGCUCACUUUCUCUCAGAUUCAGAAGAUGGACUGGGAGGUGCUCGAGUCGAAGAUUAAGUCCUGGCUCAACGCUGUCAGGUUCGUCGUCCGCACUCUGUUUCACGGCGAGAAAACGCUCUGUGACUACGUCUUCGGUUCGCCGGAGAGGAAGAUCGCGGAGUCAUGUUUCGCCGCGGUUUGCAGAGAAGGAGCGGAGUCGCUGUUCGCAUUCCCGGAAAAAGUUGCCAAGUGCAAGAAAACGCCGGAGAAAAUGUUCAGGACGCUGGAUUUGUACGAAGCGAUCUCCGACAACCGGCAACAAAUCGAGUCCAUCUUCUCGUCGGAAUCAACCUCCUGCAUCAGAUCUCAAGUCACUGUUUCUCAGGCGAGGCUCGGCGAGGCGGCACGGACGAUGCUAAUCAACUUCGAAUCCGCGAUUCAGAAGGAAUCUUCCAAGAUUCCCCUGCCUGGCGGCGGGAUCCACCCGCUCACGCGCUACGUAAUGAACUACAUCGCGUUCCUCGCAGAUUACGGCGACGCACUCGCCGAGAUUGUCGCCGAUUGGCCUCAAAAUUCGUUGCCGGAGUCUUAUUACCGCAGUCCGGAUCGCGAGGGAAAGAAUCGCUCAUCGGAGAUAGCUGAACGGAUGGCGUGGCUGAUAUUAGUGCUCCUCUGCAAGCUCGACGGAAAAGCUGAACUCUACAAGGAGGUUGCACUCUCUUACCUGUUCCUGGCAAAUAACAUGCAAUACGUCGUCGUAAAGGUCCGCAACUCAAACCUAGGGUUCAUCCUCGGGGAGGAUUGGUUGACGAAGCACGAACUGAAGGUGAAAGAGUACGUUUCCAAGUACGAGCACGUGGGAUGGAACAAGGUUUUUCUGUCGCUGCCGGAAACUCCGACGGCGGAGCAAGCUAGGGCGAUCUUGGAGUGUUUCGACGUCGCAUUCCAUGAUGCGUGCAAGGCACAGUUUUCGUGGGUCGUACCCGACCCGAAACUGCGAGAGGAAAUAAAAGCUUCAAUAGCUUCGAAAUUCGUUCCAAGUCAUAGGGAACUCUUUGAGAAGUAUCAGGUCGGGUCAGAAACCGUGUUCGGGCUUACACCCGAUGAUUUGGAGCAUAGUCUUUCUGACAUUUUAUCGGGUAGCGUUUCGUCGUCGCAUUCUCCUUCACCUCCACAUCGCUUCAAACGCCCGUGAAGUUGAAGCACGCGCCGGCGAAUGUAAUGGGCCCCACAUCUGUCGUUAUUGUUUUUUUGGCUAAUGGUAAAAGGCAAGAAUGUGGCCCAGAUAAGUGUAAAAGAUUUUUUUUGUGUUGAAUGACACCAUGGGUGGUAUAGUACCUGAAAUCCUAGGUGUGCGUUGUUCAAAAUUUUUAUUUUACAACUUUUUUGAGUUAUAAAUCAGUGAAUAACCCGUCAUGUAUAAAAUAAUUUCGCGGGAAAGAUAAAGUAUAUCAUGCUUAAAUAUUUUUAUAAUGUUGUACAAAAUAUUCGUGUAACAAAAUUAGUAUAAGAAUAAAUUUCAAAUAAAUAAAAUUAUGAAUUUAAACGUUAAGAAAAUACAUGCAACAUUACUAUAUACAAUCGAAGUUAAAACGAGUUACAUUAUUAUUGUAUAUGACUAUAUGUUUCAGUACCGAUUUCAAUAGUUUAGUUUUCCCUUGUAACAUAUAAAAAAAUCAAAGUUGAAAAUAAAUGGUGUUACUUAAUUACCAUAAGCCAGGACAGUAAACUAUUUAUUUAUUUAAUUUUAAAACUAAGAUUAAAAGCUUCAAAUUAUUAAAAAGUAUAUAAUUUCAAGUGGAAUUUAUCUUUCAAUUAUUUAAAUGAAAUUUUACUCAUUAAAAAAUUUCAUGAUUUUGUUUAAAACUUUUUCCAAACAAUAAUAAAUUCAAUUCAUUUAAUUUUUGUGAAAUUUUAUUACUUUUAAAUUUAGAUCAUAUAAAACUAUUUUACAUUAUAUCAUCAUUAAAUUAUUUUUUAUGUUAAAAAAUAGUUAUUAACUUUUUAUCAUCAUUAAAUACGUUUUCUCUCACUUUGUAUCUCUCUCUUUAUAUAUAAAGUUUUCUUGUGAACCUAGGAGAUAAGGAGAGAAAAAAAGAAGCUUUUUCCCGAAUAAAAAAUGACAAAAAUAAUUGUCUAAUAAUAGACACAUGAAAAAUAAUAAGAAGGAAAUGAAAAAGGGAAAUAACAUUAAUCAAUCAAGAGAAUAAAUGAACAUAUACGAAAUAUUUUUUAUAGAAAGAUUAAAAAAAUAUAACAAACACUCUUAAAAAAAUAUUCAUUAUAAUAUAUUAAUACUUUUAUUUUAAUUUUGCCAUAUUAGUGUAAUCAUUCUAUAUGUAAUUUUUAAAAUAAUUAUUAUAGAAUCAAUAAUCUUACUAUAUAUAUAUAAUAAGUUAUUAUUUGAUAAUGUAAAGAUAUUUAUACUAUUAAUAUAUUUUAAUUAAAAUAUUUUGUAAAGACAUAAAGUAAAAUUUGACUUAAUUUAUAGUUAGAGUAACCUUGAAAUGAAUGUAAGUAUUUGUCUAUUUGAUAUGUUGAUUAUGUUCACAAUAUUUAUGCGCUCGUCAAUUGGGCUAGUUAGGUAUAAGUUGCAUAAACAUCUAGGACAAUUAGAACACUAUUAAAUGCAAUAAUUGUUACGUAUGUCGUCAGUGAUGAAUUGUUAAUUGUUGUUUUUAGAAGAUGAAUUGUUGUGCUUGCAUUCUUUUUUAAAAAUAACAGCAGAAGUACCUACAAAACAACACCUAACUAUUUUUUUCUGUAAAAAAAAACUUUUCUUUUUCAAACCAAAAGUAUUCUUUAGAAACCUGUUAGGAUCUUUAUGAACAAUAAAGUUUUAUUUUCAAAUAUUUAAUACAGCCACUUGAGACCACAUUUAAGUUGGAACCCAUGCCUAUCCAUUUUUUUUUUUUAAUUUCGGCAACAAAGUUAAAAAGAAAUUUCCAAGCUAAUCAAAAUCAAUAAUUUAUCGAUAACUUGGGAAGCAAAACAACCUAGUUUUCAUAGGAAAAACAGUUUUAAAUUCUACACUUUAUUUUAAAAUUCAGUAUCCACUAUUAAAGUAACAUUUAUAUAGUUAAAGAAGAUAAGAAAAAUAGAAUUAUAAGUGUAAAGAACUUAUUUUUUUAUUGGUUUUUAGCCCUAUAUAUAUAUAUAUAUAUAUAUAUAUUAGAAGAAAACAUCAUUAUUCUUCCCAAAAAUAAUAUUAAUAAGAUGAUAAACUAAUAUGUUAUAUAGGUAUGUCACCCGAUGCAUACCCCUAGCUAAUUUAUUUUGUGCCAAUUUUUUUAUAGGUUUGGAUUUAAGAAAUUACACUUUUGCAAAUAAAAAACACUUGAUAUAUUUUUAGGAUGAUUUGAGUGGUCGCAAUUCCGAUCUGAUGUACGUAAUAUAUUCUUUCAAAAAGUAUAAUAUUUUAAACAAUUGAGUAUGAAUGAUGCAUUCUUUGGCUCAAUGGAUUGUGUUUUAUAUAAUAUGAUAUCAUAUUUAUAUUAAUAUUAUUUAUCUUGAAAUAUAUUAUAUAAUAUAUAUUAAUAGUAAUUGUAUACUAGUAAUGCUUUAAUUAUAUAUUAAUAUUAAGACGUGUUUUAAUUUUAUAAAUAAAAGUCAGUACGGAACUUCCGGUGACUUAUUUUAUUUUAUGUGAACGUAUAAAUUAAACAAGUUUAAUGUCAAUACAAUAACUAACAGUGUAAAACACAGUUUUAUAGUAUUGUUAUUUAAUUAUAAAAUAUUUUUAAAUUAUUUUAAAAUAAACAAACUCAUCGGACAUGAUAAAUUGUAAUUGAAUGAUUAUGUAAAAUAUUUUAUAUAAUUAAUGUAUAAUUUAUUUUUCUCAAAAUUAAAUCAAUUAAAAUACCUAGCUCCAGUCAAAUAAAAUUAAUAAUCAUUAAACUGCACCAAUUUACCUAAUUUAUCCAUUUAAUUGGUUUAUUUGAAUUUAUACUAACCCUCCUACCGCAAAUAAUAGAGAUUGUUAGGUACACCGAUCCCUAUUUUCCUGUUAAAUUUCUGGAGCCGAAAGCAACGGAAGCAUAGCAAUGGUGCUCAUUAAUCACUCUGCAGACUUCAGAAAUUCUAAACCAAUUAACCAAGCUGUGGAAAAACUUCUGUGGAAGAUCAAUUACUCAAGAUUAAAGUCCAGGAGGGGACAAGUCAGUAGUGUUGGCAAUAUUGAUUAACUGAUUAAAUGUUUCGAUUUUUUUUUUUUUUAUAGUUUUGUGGACAUAAGGAAAGUGCCAAUUUCUCCAUCUUUUUGUUCCGUGUGAUUUCUUCACCAUUAUUCGUUGGCCACCACAGAUGGUUAAUCAAUUAAUCAUUUAAUUGCUAAAUUAUUGUGAGUUGUUUUAAUUUGUUGGUACAUACAAUUUCAAUAUCCCAAAAAGAAAAAAAUCGAAGAGGAAAAAAAAAAAACUGCACUAUCAACGUAAAAUAGAGGUAAAGAGGAACCGCCAAUUUCUCCAUAUACUUGUACGGUUUAUUUGGUUCUUCUGUAUUAUUUAAUCGUGAUUAUUCACUGGUCAGCAUAGAUGGAUAAUUAAUUAAUUUAUAGGAAGGCAUAAAAAUACAGUGCUUUUUAGAUGGAAAUACAACUCUCGCAAUAAAAACUUUCUAAUUAUUGAUUCCUUACAAAAUUGAUGUAAACGAAAUGACUGGAAAUAUUAAACAUUUGGCAUAUAUUUAAUUGAGUUUAAUUACUUGUUUGAUUUUUAUAUCUUUAAGAUCUAGAUCUGUACGUUUUAGUUAUUAUGUCUUAAAAACACUCAUUUUAGACCACAUGAAUUACUGGUUUAAGUUUAUCUAUCAAAAAAUUAUCUGUUAGCGCAAAAGUUAGUUAUUGAAUUAUAAAUAUUUAGCUAAAUAAUAUAUUAAAGUAGUUAGAAAAGGUAAAAUUACAUAAAGGAUAAAAAUAAUAAAAUCUUAUCUUAUAUAGAAAAAUUUAAAAGAAAAUCUAAUAAAUAUUUAAAGAUAAAAAGAUAAUAAAUAUAAAAUAUUAGAAAUGAAAUUUUUUAAAAUACUAAUUCAAGUUGUAUUUCAAAAUCAUUAAAAAUGGCUAAAAGAACUUGUUUAUCACAGUGAAAUAAAAUUUUCAAUCAAUAAAAUAAACUAAAAAUUAACUGAUUAUUUAAUCUCAUUUAAUUUAGUGAUUGUUAUAAAAAAAACUGUAUGAAUAAGGCAGUUUAAAAAGUAAUGUGUUGGGACUAAAUUGGUUUAAAAAGUAUAGUGUAAGAUUAAAAUAUAAAGAUUAAACGAGUAAUUGUGUUUUUUUUCUUUCUAAAUCACAUAUACAUGUUAUAUAAGAUCAUUCUAUUUGAAUUAAAAAUGUCAAUAGUAAGGUGCAGUUGCAUCCUUUUUAAUGAGAUUUUUUAAAAUUAUUUAUAAGGCUUUUAAACUCGGUAAUUUAUAUAAGAAAACUUAAAUAUGUUUCACUUAAAUUAAUUACUCAUUAAUAAUUAACUUAUAAUUUUUUCCUAUCGUUUAAUCAUCGUAACAAUUUUUUCUUAAAAAAUAUCNNNNNNNNNNNNNNNNNNNNNNNNNNNNNNNNNNNNNNNNNNNNNNNNNNNNNNNNNNNNNNNNNNNNNNNNNNNNNNNNNNNNNNNNNNNNNNNNNNNNNNNNNNNNNNNNNNNNNNNNNNNNNNNNNNNNNNNNNNNNNNNNNNNNNNNNNUUUAAAAGUGAUUCUCUAUUGUUUAAAAUAAGAGUUUAAUGAUUACGUUAUUUAAAAGUGAUUCUAAAAUACGUUUCUAUUACUUUAAUGAUUAUGUAUUAAAAAUCAAUUAAUUAUUAUACAUAGUAAAUUAUAAUUGAAUGAUUAUAUAAAAUUUUUUAUAUAAAUUUUUUUAUACUAUAUUUAAGCGGUUUUCUUUCUUUUAAAUUCAUGUCAUUUAUCAAUAUAUUUCUUAUAUAACACACAUAAAAAAAAUUACACUGUUGCAUAAUCUUUUUCUCUUAAUAAAAGGAAUUCUUUAAGUGGCUUUCUUUUUUUCUUUUAAAUUCGUGUCACUUAUCAAUAUAUUUCUUAUAUAACAAACACAUAAAAAAAUAUUCUAAUUUAAAUUCACCCGGAUCAAAAAGCUAAAAUAAAUCAUUUUAGGCCUUAUAAAGUUAUAAAAAAACGGAUUGACACAAAAAUCAAUUUUCAUCAAAAGUUCAAAACAAAAUAUUGAAAAAUAUUAUGCUUUUAUCAGGACACCCACAUCCACACCCAGACGUGCUUUAUCAUUUCUCAAUUUCGCCACCGCUGUUUUGUUCUUUGACAAUGGUAUUUCCCCAACAGAACACACUCUACACAAUAAAAACUUAAUUGAUGCAUAUGUCCUUUCUUGUUCCCUGGUAGCUUCUUAAUUUUCGAAAUCGCUAUUCUAUUGGAGUUUCAUUUCGUUUAUGGAUGCAAUUUUCCUCCAACUUGACCAAAGUGGAGAGCGUUCAACUAAGGAGGGUCCGAACCUUUUCAAUUGGAUAAGGGUAACAAGAACAACAAUAAUUACAAUUACUAUGUUUUUUGUGGUGGGGUGUAUGAAAAAAUAAGCCUUUUCAAUUGGGGUGAUCAUUCAUCUAUGGCCACGAAUGCUGUUGAAAAUGGGUGGUCUUGAUCAUUCAUCUAUGGUCUUGAUUUCCGGUGAGAAUUACUAUAUUGUAUUCUCUUGGGGAUGAGUAUGAAAUGGCUAGAUUAGAAAGGUGAGAAGACUAAGUUUUUAGUUCAUGGUGACAACAACGUAGAGAGUGUCAUGGUUACCAAUGGCAAAUGACAAGCUGAUGUGAUGAGGAUUAGAAAUGAGAAAGCACGUGAUUCACUGAUCAUAAUUUUAAUGAAUUGAUUCUAGUCAUUAGAUUAAUUUAUUUUAACAGAUUAGAUUUGAUGUAAGUUUUAAUCUCUACACUUGGUGUAAACAUAUCCUAUCUCUCUCUAUAUUUAGGAAAAGGGAUGGAAGAGUAAUAGUCAAGGAAACAUGAGACCCAGGAAGGGAAGAUCAUACCAACAGACAUUGGGUGGAUUUCGUAUAAUCCUCGAUAGAAGUAGCUGAGUUGGCAAAAUGUGAGUGGCUAGGGAGUAGAUGUUGUCUUGUCUAGGAAUAUUUCAUUUAUGUCAUGUAGUGUCGUUUCCGUUUGAUACGACCAUCAUCAUUGUUCAUGCUUAUAUAUAGAAUCCUAGCUUGUAAUGGAACACCACAGAUAAAUGAUACACAUUUCCUUUUCUUUAUCUUGGAGGUUACCUAGCUCCUCGAAACUAGGGUUUUCUCUUCCCUCUUCUUUCUGUUCUAACAAAAAACGAAGAUGUGAUCGAAGUUAAACCUAAGAUUNNNNNNNNNNNNNNNNNNNNNNNNNNNNNNNNNNNNNNNNNNNNNNNNNNNNNNNNNNNNNNNNNNNNNNNNNNNNNNNNNNNNNNNNNNNNNNNNNNNNNNNNNNNNNNNNNNNNNNNNNNNNNNNNNNNNNNNNNNNNNNNNNNNNNNNNNNNNNNNNNNNNNNNNNNNNNNNNNNNNNNNNNNNNNNNNNNNNNNNNNNNNNNNNNNNNNNNNNNNNNNNNNNNNNNNNNNNNNNNNNNNNNNNNNNNNNNNNNNNNNNNNNNNNNNNNNNNNNNNNNNNNNNNNNNNNNNNNNNNNNNNNNNNNNNNNNNNNNNNNNNNNNNNNNNNNNNNNNNNNNNNNNNNNNNNNNNNNNNNNNNNNNNNNNNNNNNNNNNNNNNNNNNNNNNNNNNNNNNNNNNNNNNNNNNNNNNNNNNNNNNNNNNNNNNNNNNNNNNNNNNNNNNNNNNNNNNNNNNNNNNNNNNNNNNNNNNNNNNNNNNNNNNNNNNNNNNNNNNNNNNNNNNNNNNNNNNNNNNNNNNNNNNNNNNNNNNNNNNNNNNNNNNNNNNNNNNNNNNNNNNNNNNNNNNNNNNNNNNNNNNNNNNNNNNNNNNNNNNNNNNNNNNNNNNNNNNNNNNNNNNNNNNNNNNNNNNNNNNNNNNNNNNNNNNNNNNNNNNNNNNNNNNNNNNNNNNNNNNNNNNNNNNNNNNNNNNNNNNNNNNNNNNNNNNNNNNNNNNNNNNNNNNNNNNNNNNNNNNNNNNNNNNNNNNNNNNNNNNNNNNNNNNNNNNNUAGUAAAAAGAAAUAUUAAAUAAUAAUUUUACUAAAUAAAUAAAUAAUAAAAAAUAAGCAACACGUACAACUCAUUAAAUAUAAGGAUAAAAUGUCUUUUUGGAUACAUAGGAUAAAAUGUCUUUAUAAUUUCAUUUGUUUUCUUAUUUUUAUUAAUCUAUGCAAUACAUGUUUUUAUUCUAUCUCUAUUUUAUUUUUAUAUUAUAUUUUUUCUCUUUUUUCUUCUUCUCUAUUUCUUUCAUUCACAUAAACAUAGGGUUAAGAGAUUCAUGGCAAUGAAUCAUCAACAGUCACUUACAAUAAUGAUAAGAUACAAUGUUCUGAAAAAAACAAAAAAUAAAAAGUUAAUAUAUGUAUUUUCUAAACUCUAAAUAAAAUUGUUGACAUGGGUUGAUACAUCUAGUCAAGUCUUGUAACUUGUGUUCAAUUAUUAGAUUUUUCCUGUUGAUAGGCAAUAUGAGAAGUUUUUUCCUCCAUCUAAUAGUUGGGCUUUGUUAGAAUUAAAUUAAACGGCUCCAUUAUGUAAAGUGCAAUGUUGGGCAUUGCCGCAUAUUCUGGACAACUAGCUCUAAAACGAGUAACUAUAAGUUCAAUCGGUGUGUUGGAUGCACCAAACACAAACAGUUACCCAUUCAAGGCAACCUGGUAGAAAUCCACAAAUCACUAUUCUUUUUAAAUCCUAACUAUUUAUUAGUUUUAUUCUUUAUAAUUAAAUCACUUUUUCAAACAUUAAAACGUAAUAAAAUUUAGAAUUGACAAAAUUAAAUAAAGACUUUUUUAUUUUUAUUUUUUGUGUUGUCUAAUAAUGUCCAUCAAACAAUAUAGAUAAAAAAUUAUCUUAUAACUCAACUGUUUAUCCUUUACUGCUAUUCGUGUAUUAUAUUUCAAGUGUCCCGUGUUUUGUAUGAAUAUUAAUUUUUUAUUUUUUAUAUAUUUUUUUAUGUAUUUAUCUAUUAUAUUUAAUUAACAAAAAAUAUAUAUUAAUGUAUACACACAAUAGUUAACGAUAUUAAUAUAUAAUAAAAUAUUAAUUGUUAUAAAGAUUAUGCCAAAAUUUUGUAUUAUAUAUAUAUAUAUAUAUAUAUAUAUAUAUUAUUUUCAUAUAAAUGCAUCAACUUUGUGUUUUUAUAAAAUUUGAUACUUUAUAAAAAAAUGUAUCUCCAUGAAUUUUAUUUUAUAUUCAAUAUAUUUUCUAUAUUUUUUUAUUAAUAAAUUUAUACAUUAAUGUAUACAAUAGUUAACGAUAUUAAUAUAUAAUAAAAUAUUAAUUUUUAUAAAAAUUAUACCAAAAUUUUGUAUGAUAUAUAUAUAUAUAUAUAUAUAUAUAUAUAUAUAUAUAUAUAUAUAUAUAUGUAUAAAUGCAUCAAGUUUGGGUUUUUAUAAAAUUUGAUACUUUAUAAAAAAAAUUAUCUCCAUGAAUUUUAUUUUAUAUUCAAUAUAUUUUCUAUAUUUUUAUUAAUAAAUUUAUAUAUUUUUAAUUGCAUAAAUUUAUACAUUAAUCAAAUAAGUUAAUUAUAAAAUCUGAUUUAAUUGAAUAAAUAGGAAAAAAAGUUUAUUUGAACUAAAAACGUAUUAGAAAUGAGUGAAUGUUAUUAUUCAAAUGCAUGUUCUUUAACAUUUUAGCAUAUUUUUAUCAAUUAAAGUUUAAGUAUGAUUCAAAAAUUUAAUAUUUUCUUUUUAUAUUUCAUUCUUAUAAUUUUAAUUACAUGAUGCAAAACAUGAAUUUACCCUUGGUUGUAAAACUAAUAUAACUUAAUACAUAUUGUCUAUAAAAGAUAUGUUGUUAACUAAAAAACACCAGUAAUUAAAAGAAUUGAGAUAAACUGAUUGGUCAUUCUUCAUAGUACAUUAUUAAAAAAAUAUUAUAAUCAUUAUUAAAAAAAUACUAAAAGAGGAAUGAAAUAAUUGAUCAAGAAUAAAAAAUCCAAAAAAAGAAUUGUUUGUAUUUAAUAAAAUAAUAAUAUAUCUUUAAGAGAAUGAAUAAUAAAAUAGAAUAUAUUUACAUAAUAAAAUAAGAUUGAUUUGAAUUAAUAAUUAAAUUAAAUAAUAUCAUUUAAUACUUUUUAGGAAAUAAAUAUGGAAUAUCAACCCUUCCUUUGCGUGACGCAAAAUAUAGUUAAACAGAAAUACAAACUAAAAAUGGAAAAAAGGAAAUGAUAAUUUGAAGAUAAUAACUGGUGUGUGGGAUCAUGAGAUCUUACGGUUUUGCAUGUGACAUAUAAAUAUCCGUUUCUUAUUGUUCAGAUUGAAAAGGUGUAGGAUCUUACUAAUAGUAGUGAAAUGUAUUAAGCUUCUACUAUGCAGACAUACAUGGACCGAAUCUUAAUUAGUACUAUCACAUGCUAACUAACACAUUUUUUUAAAUAUAUUUAUUAUUAUUAAUAUUAUUAUCUGAAUUCUAUUACAAAUUAUAAAGUUUUAUAGACCUUAAUAAAUUUUAACAAACAUUCUGAGAGUGAUUGAAAAAGAAUAACACUCUUCUAAAAUUAAUGAAGACUAAAUUGCAGCACCAUGGAUUAUUCAUUACGAGGGCAUCUUGAUGUUUUUGCAAUGUUCCGCUCUACAUUUCCUAUUAUCUUCAAUGGAAAAGAAAAUGAUAGUACCAGCAUAUACCGUAAGAUGUGGAUUGAUGUAUACAUUAAACUAAUUUGCUUCUUUAUCAUUCAUAGCAGACAACGACAUGGAAACUUGGAGAAAAACAAAGAGAUUAAUUACGGCAUUCUUCGUAGUCACCCCCUAGCCUCAUUAAUUUGGCCGGUAGUGUUUGGUGUUCUUUUGGGGCUUCUUUAAUUUCAAGUUUUCCACAACUUUUUUUCCACCCAAAAUCCAAAAAUUCAGGCCAAGUUAACAUGAGUAGAUUUAUGAUUUCUCAUAGCAUAUGCAUAUAUGAAUAUUUCAGGCAUAUAUUAAAGAGGCUCAAGGUAAUAUAUGCGCAAUGUAUAUGUUUAAGUAGAUUUAUGACUUCUCAAAGCACAUCGACUCGGUUGUAGUCUGAACAUGAGUUUAGGUAAUAUAGGCGCAAAGUAUCAAAUAAACUAAUUUCGAAAAUCGUAGGAAGUGGGAAAGCGUAUCAACCAAAUUGUUACGAGGUUAGCUUCAUCUAUAUAACGAUAUGAUACCACAGGUCUGGUCGUCUGGACAUCGAGUUGGUUCAAAAUUAUAAGUGUUGAGUGACGUAAAAAUGAAUAUACACAUUUAUAAAUUGUGAAUCAUAUGUUGGUUUAUAAGAGUAAAGUCAUCGUGCCUAUAAAAAAAAUUGUCAAUAAAAAUUAAUCUAGUUGAUAAAGAUCAAACUCAUUUCACAAUAAUACAGAUUUAAAUUCCACUACUGAUGUGAGGACCUUAUCAAUUGAUGGGUGAUUUGUAAAUAUUUCUAUAAACACUUAUUGAGCUUUAAGAUAUGUCCUCAUGAUCUUGGUGAGUCCCAAAAUCUAAUUUAUUUUUAAAUUUUUCUGUAAAAAAAUGCCUAAAAAAAGGGUAAUAUUGUUGUAUUACAUUAUCAAUUAUUAUUAUUAUUCUUGGAUCUUAUAUAGAAGAAUCUAGUUUACAGUUUAUCUUUUAUAGUUUAUAGUUCGAAUCCUUCCUUUGAAAAAAAAAGUUUAAUUUGAUUUGGUUUGGAUGAUCAAAGAGAACUUGCAACUCAAUCCAUAAAAGGACAUUAAAUCCAACACUCUUCAAUUGUUCUAUCUUAAGUCAACCAUCAUCCACUCCAUCUUAGAUAUAUCUCAAAUACAUAGAAAAUGACAUUACUUAUAAAUAGGAGUGCUCACAUGGGUUGGAAAGGUUUAGGUAUAGGACAAAAUUAAAUUCAAAUUGAUUAUAUUUAAAUAGAUUGAUUUGGUUUGGAUUUAAAAAAAAAUCAUUUAAUUUGUACCAAACCAAUAUGACCAAAAUCAAUUUGAUUUGUUAUUGUAAAUCCUUAGUAUCAGAGUUUGAUUAUUCCCUUUGAAAAAAAAAGUUUGAUUUAAUUUGGUUUCGAUUAUUGGAUUAUGAUUAAAAAUAUAGUUAUAUUUUCAAGUUUUUAUCUCUACUUAUUGUCUAUCUUGCAUAAAUAUUUAAUUCAUGAUAUUAACAGAAGGUAAAAAAACAUUUUUUUGUUCUUAAUUAAAUAUCUAAUUAUUUAUUUUAUGUAACAUUUAAUGAAGCUGUCGUCAAGGAUUUAAUUGCAUCUGUGUUGACUCCAAUUGAAGCAAUGCUAUUAAACUCCAGGAAAGAUAGGAAAGAUGGUUAUGUUGGAAAUAAUUCAAGUCCCACAUCAAUUAAAACAACUAAAAAUAAUUCCAUACUAAAAUAUAUAAAUGAGGGGCAACCCUCACCUCUUUUCUAAAAAGUUGUAACAAGAAUCAUCCUUGCUAUAACUUGGUUGAAGAUAUUCGUGCGGUGCAUGGGCGUAUUAGCAAUGUUUCUUGGAAUCGUGUGUUUAGAGAUGCUAAUCAAGCUACGGAUGGGAUGACUAAGUAAACUUUGAGUAUUACCAAUGGUUACCAUGUUUUUGAGAAUUGUAUUUCUGGUGUUUUGAGGGAUAAUUCAGUUUUGAGUUUGUCAACCAAAAUGUCUUUAAUCCUCUGAUUUUUUAUUUACAAAAAAAAGACCGAUAACUUUAUUCAUGUUCAUAGUUCGAUCACAUAUUUAUGUUUAUGAAAAAAUAUUUAUUAAAAAAUUAAUUCCUUAAAUAAAUCUUAAUAUUUUGAGGAAUUAAUACUUAAAAUUAGGUGUUUGAUGUGUAUUGAGUGUAUCAUGACAAUAAAGAAAAUUGAAUAUAAGUUUUCAUGUUUUUUAUUGAUAAAUUAUUAAUUUUUAUUAGUAAAAGAAAUUAAACUUAUAAUUUUUUUUCUCUUUUAAUCAUUCAACCUACCAUAUCUCUUAUACCUCUGAUAAUAGUUUUCAUUCAUUUAUCCCAAUCUCCACUGCUAGGCCUUGGGUAAGUGUUUGACUUGGCAUAGGUAAGUUGACUACCUCGCUGGAGAUUGUUGGAGCAAGAUAAGUACUUGAGAAAAAAGAAGAUCACAGCGCACUGAAUCAAAAUUAUUGGGCCGGAACAUUAUGCUAGUAGAAAUUAUUCUCGAAUGUGGGACUAUUCUUAACACGCCCCUCUCGAGUCACGUCACCAUAAAGGGAGGGUUGAUGGCACCCAUCGGACAAAAGCAGAAUUUGGCUCUGAUAUCAUAUUAAAUUUAUAGUGCAGUAAAGACAUCCGAAUGAUCCCCUUAAAAAUCGGUUUAUAAGAGAAUGAUCUACCCAAUUAUAUAAGCAUGUUGAUGAAUUACCCGAUGUUAAUAACUAGAGUUGUCUUAUCAUCUUCUGCCCGUUGACUUCAACGAUAGAACCAUAAACUUCUUCGGGUAAUAACUGUUAGGUUCACGAAAGACACAUAAAUAAAAUUUUGAAAGCUUCUGAAGUAAAAAAAUAAAAAAUUGAAAGAUCAUUUGUUUUCUUUAACUUGCUUGUCCUUCCGUUGACUCUAUGCAAAAAAAAACUACUUAAGCUUAUCCAUGCAUUAAAUUGUUAGUGUCAGAUAAGGUAUGUAUCGAGGUAUUAAGUGCUGAGUUGAUUUAGUUAGCUAGGCAACUAUUGACCAAGUCUUGAUCGAGUUGUGUGGAUAUACUUUAGGAUAAAAAAGGUGUUAAAAAAUGAAAGUUGUGAAGAUUGUUGCAUGAAGUUACCAAUGGUGGUUACCAAAAUUUAUUAGCAAUUUUGUUUCCAAUGCCUUAAGGGUUGAUUGUGUUUGUACUGUAUAGCUUUCCUAGAGAGGUUUCUGUGCCUUAAUAAUAUUUUUUCAUUAAAAAAAACACUUGUCUUUUAGGCAGCAAAAUUUUAGAAACUAGUCGAUAGAAAGUUUAUCUAUAAAUAGUAGUUUAUAUAAUGUUGUAGGGGGUUGGAUCUUUUGCUUCAAGAGACAAAUCUGUUGGUUAAUUUUGAAAAUCGAGAUAAUCCUGGAUAAAUCUGAAGUCGUGUAUAAACACUUUCAGAUUGAAUCAAAUUUCGGGGUUCAACCAAAAUUGUUCAAUCGGAUAAAAUCAGAAGAUUAUAAUUCAAGAGUUUUGUUUUGGUCUUGUGAGUUUUUCACAUGUUAUGCUUUCUGAACCAGGAUGAUUAUUUAUAAUCAAAGAACAGGUGGUUUUUGGCGGUUGAUGGAAGUUAUUUAUUUUUAAAAAAUUGUCGUUAAUGGAAGUUUUAGUAACUUCCAUGUAACUUCCAACCGUUGAUGGAAGUUAGUAACUUCCAUGUAACUUCCAACCUUUUGCCUAAACCGAACAUCUCGUUAUUACAUUAAAACAAGCGUGCACUCUUAUUUUAACAUAAUAAAGAGAUCAAUUACACUAAAAUGUCCAACAAAAUCAAUGAAGCCUUAGCCUAUUACACAUGAAUACGCCGCUCACGUACGCAGAAUCUUGGACACAUUGAGAAGCCAAUGUGUGUAACUACUCGCAGCCAUUUAAUUCAAGUUAUUUUUCUCUUAUUUUCUUUCAUUUGGCUUUUAUUAUUUCUUUUUCAUUUUCAAUCGAACAUGCCUAUGCUUGUGGUCACCAGACUGCAACAAACGUACAUCGAACAAAAAAUGCAUUGUAAACUUAUCAACUUGUCGAUCCUAUUGAGGACUGGAUUCAAGUCACACAUCACCAUAAACAGAUAUUCAAAUCAAUUUUUGAAAUUGUCAUGCAUGUAUGUGACUAGAGUUUCUAAUUACCUUCAGGUCGAGUUUAAACUUAAGGUUAUAACAAAAGGAACCAUAAUAUAAAGCACGUCAUAUUUUUUUUUUUUUUAUAUACCAAUGAACUUAUUAAUAUACUAAGUGAAAUUAAGCACAAGUAGUGCUCACUUUAGCUAAAAGAAAACCCCACCUGACACCUCAAUUAUUGGUAAAACUUACACGGCAUCAUUCUUGAAUAUCCAACGCAGCAACACAUACGCUCUUGAAUUAAAAAGCCAACUAAUUUAAUUUUUAUUUUUAUAAACAAAUGCUAAUUUGUUAGAAUGUUAAUUUUGUUAACAGAAAAGAUGCGAUUUUUAUUUUCUUUUCUUCUGCCUUAACUAUCCAAUAAUCCACUUUUUAUCUCCCAAAGGCAACUAAAUUUCAAUAACAAUAACGUAUGUAACUUGCAUAUUGGAUGUUAAUAAAAGAAGAGGGAGAGAGAGAAUUUAGAGUGAAGAAAAAAGAAAAAGAAAAAAAUGCAACAGAGGGUGUGAAAAAAUGGGAGGAAGGAAUAAAAACUGAAUGUAAAGGAAAAAGGAAGUAAUAGAUGUUGUGGCUCCCCAUUUCAUUUGGAAAAAAAGUUGCUCAUAUACUAAAAAAUGGGGUAGAGAAGGUGAGUGUAUAAUAACAACUCAUUUCAUUUGUGUGCUAAUCACGUACGCGGUACGCCAGACAUGAUCUGUAUAAUGAUUUUAUGUGGGGAAGAUUACUGUGUAUUCUGUUCCACUCUAUCUACCAUAUUUCUUCUUCCUUAAAUGUGGAUAACUAUAUCGGCUAACCUACUACCACUGGCCAUUUUCAUUUUGUUGUAGAAUUCCACAACUGCUGCAAUUACAGCGUAAACUAGCUGGCCUUAUAUAUUAUAUAAUAAUAUAUAGGCUGUUUAAAGAAAUUAAAAUGUUGAUAUAAAAGGUGUCCUAUUAUGGAAUAAAGACUUACACACCAGAAAAACUAUUCCUAACACAUGCUCAUAGUGUGACUAGUGCUUGCUUUGUUUCUUGUAAUAAAGGUUGACACGAAAGCUUCAAAGAGAUAAGUUUGUUGGGGGUUGAGCUAGCCAGCCAAUUAGCUAUACACUAAACUAAACUACUGAGUAUUGACAUUUUGACUCUUAGGCCUCUCUACUCUUCACACGCCCCACUCAUUCUCUCAUUGCUCACUCUCACUCCCUUGUUAUAAAGUGUCACACGUUUAUUUGAAUUUCAAACCCAUCAAAUUCUUUCUAACUCUUACGUCAGUUUUCUCUGCUCUCUCUUUCUCUAAUGGAGUUCCUCAGUUUACUUUAUGGUGCUAUGGCAUUGUACUUCUGUUUCCUGAUCUGGAAAUUGUUUGAUCAGAGAAGGGACCAAGAGUGCUACGUAUUGGACUACCAACUUUACAAGCCAAGCGAUGAAAGAAAGCUUGGAACUGAACGCUGUGGGAAGAUCAUAGGGAGGAACAAGCACUUGGGUCUGAAUGAGUACAAGUUCCUCCUCAAGGCCAUUGUCAACUCUGGCAUUGGUGAGGAAACUUAUGCCCCAAGAAACGUCAUCGAGGGUCGUGAGGCAAAUCCAACAUUGGAUGAUGGUGUCACAGAAAUGGAGGAGUUUUUCCAUGGCAGCAUUGAAAAGCUUCUUGAAAGGUCAGGAAUUUCCCCCUCACAGAUUGAUGUGCUAGUGGUGAAUGUUUCUAUGUUCGCUGUUGUUCCUUCCUUGACUUCAAGAAUCAUUAACCACUACAAGAUGAGGGAGGACAUAAAGGCCUACAACCUCACUGGGAUGGGGUGCAGUGCUAGCCUCAUUUCCUUGGACAUCAUAAGGAACAUUUUCAAGUCACAAAAGAACAAGUGUGCUCUUUUGGUGACUUCCGAGUCUCUAAGUCCAAACUGGUACAAUGGCAAGGACAGAUCAAUGAUUCUCGCCAACUGUUUGUUCAGGACCGGUGGAUGUGUCAUUCUCUUGACAAACAAAAGGUCCUUGAAGCAAAGGGCCAUGUUCAAGUUGAAGUGCUUGGUGAGGACUCAUCAUGGUGCUAAAGAAGAUUCCUAUAGUUGCUGCAAUCAGAAGGAAGAUGAGCAAGGAAAGCUUGGGUUUUACCUUGCCAAAAACCUCCCCAAGGCAGCUACAAGGGCCUUUGUUGAGAACCUAAGGGUGUUGUCACCCAAGGUUUUGCCAACUAGGGAGCUCCUCAGGUUCAUGAUAGUGUCCCUCAUAAAGAAACUGAGCCAAACUAGUUCCCUAAAGUCCUCAGGUGGUGGAUCUAGCAAAUCCCCUUUGAACUUCAAGACCGGGGUGGAACAUUUUUGCCUCCACACAGGAGGAAAGGCUGUGAUAGAUGGGAUUGGAAAGAGCUUGGAUCUGUGUGAGUAUGAUCUUGAGCCAGCAAGGAUGACACUGCACCGUUUUGGUAACACUUCAGCAAGUAGCCUGUGGUAUGUGCUGGGGUACAUGGAAGCCAAGAAGAGGCUCAAGAAAGGUGACAGAGUGUUGAUGAUAAGCUUUGGUGCUGGCUUUAAAUGCAACAGCUGUUUGUGGGAGGUAAUGAAGGAUCUUGGGGAUCAUACAAAUGUGUGGAGUUACUGCAUUGAUGACUACCCACCAGAGUCCUUGGCCAACCCUUUCAUGGAGACCUUUGGUUGGAUCAACAAUGUUGAAGAUGCAACCAACUUCAAACUUCCAGAUUUGUUUCUCAAGUAAGGUUAUAUUGUUGUAGAGAAAUUCUAUAUUAUCUUCAGAAGUUUUAAGAGUUUUGAUACAGUUAUUAACAAAUUUUCUAUGAUGUAUCAAAUUCAUUGUUCCAAAAAUAUAACCGUAUCAAAAUCCUUAGAUUUCUCUGGAUACUAUAGCAAUUCUUUAUAUUGUAUCACAUUUUAGGAGAAAAAUGAAAAAAAAAAUAGAAAAAAGGGGCAACUCCAAAUUUUUAGGUCUCCUAUAACAGGCAUUAAUAUUUGUCACACCAUAUGCAUCUGGAUUAAUUUUUCUGUAAACUAUACUUAUUAUUGAUGAAUCCCUCAAGGGUUCAUUACCCAAUAAGGUGUGCCGUUUGAAUGAAGCCUGGCACUCUGUUAAAAGGGAAUUGUGGUUUCCUUUUCCUAGUUUUAUUUGUUUUAAUAGGACCUGAUAAUACUUUUUUGUUUUUUGGUAAAAAAAUAUUGUACUUCUUUUUUAAAAUAUAUAAUUUUCAUCAAUUUGUGUCGUGAACUGGUAGGACGAAUGGAUAAAGAGUACAGGGUAGGGUGGGGUUGUGCAUGGAUUCUUCCUUUUUAUAUUUAUUUUAAGAUAGGCAUAAGUGUAAAAGAUGCUAACUACCUGGCCCAUUAUUUUAAGGUCACGUCAUAUUUAAUGCAACUUAUAUGGCUUAUAUAUUACAUCCUCCAUUCCUGUCAAUUUCAAUUUCCUCUAUAGAUCGAUUGUCCGUUUGUCUACGUUCCUGCUGUGCCAUGGAUUUGAAUUUGUAAGGGAACGAAAGCCCUGUAUGACAUACCAUUUUUUUUUAACCAAGUUGUAAAAGAAUUCAGGCUUGAUUAGAUUUUUUAACCUUCCAAAAUUUGAGAUUUUUAGUCUAAUUAUUUAUUUAUAACUUUUAUAGAAAUUUUUACAAAAUAUUUUUUUGUUAAAUAGUUAUUCUAGUAGUUUUUCCCGUUGUCUGUUAUUUUUAUAACUAUUUUAAUUUCUUUACAUAUCACAAGCUUUUCUUAACUUCAAAUAGAUAGGUUAGCCUAAGAAAGUUGUGUUGUCAACUAUUUUAAACUUUUUAAAGAAAGAUUAAUGUUAAUGAAUACAAAAUUAAAGUUAAUUUCAUAAUCAUACUAAAAAUUAAUAUAUAUUGAAACAAUAAGUACAGAAAAAAUAAUUGUACGUACGUCCUUCUCAUGUGAAUUUUUUAUAGUAAUCUUCAUUGUUUAAACAUAAGAAGGAAGUAUGAUUUGCGAAAAAGUUACAUUUUAAGAAGUAUUAAUUACAAUUUGAAUGCAAAAGACAUAAUCACAUAAAUGGGAGGUUUGAAUUGUAAAAGAAAAAGGUUUAAUGUGAACUCUACAAGAAAAGAAGAAGGGUUGUAAUUAACACUCCAAUAGUAAGGCAGUAUCAACAUGUUUCCCGGCCCCGGCAUGGUAAAAGUAAACUGACAAAAAAAGGAAAAGUCUUCCGUGCAACACUCAGAAGAAGGGUCCCCCGCACCAUGAAUUGAAUAUGAUAUGUUGUUGAAUUUACUGUCAAGUACAUAAACGGUUGGACAUAGUUAGUGAGAUCUCAAGACUUGCAGAAUGAAAAACAGAUAAAUGCAUGCUUGAAAAUUGUGUAAAAUAGUUUAUGUGGUCCCUGAAAAGGUAGGAAUUUGCAAAGAAACCCUAGGUACGUAGCUUCUUACGUGUUCUUCUCCUCCUCCUUGCUGUAAUGUAACAGUGACAUAUACCCUCCAGCCAGCAUCACUGAAACUAAAUCAUCUAUCAAGCACAAUCUGUGAAGGCUUCAAGCAUUGGUUCGUCGGUACUAGGUUUUGGGGGUGCAAUUUCUGGGCCAUUCGUUACUUCCAUUAAUAAAUAACUCAAUAUGUCAGGCAUAGGGACAUCCAAGGAUGGGAAAUAACAGCAUUUAACCUACCUUUACGAUGGUGAAUAAAAAAUGAAGGAGGAGAGAAAAUUUUAAAUCUUGAAUUGAAAAAGUCAAUUUUUGAAUUUUUUUCAACUAAUUUAAUGUUAACAGUCUAAUUUAUUUUAUUUAUUUGUUAUUGAUAAACUUAUAGUGGGUAUCUAAACCUACUUGUGAUGUUUGGGAAGAAUUCAAAUCUAUUAAUUUCUUAGAAGUUAUGGGGUGAAUAUGGAAAAUACAUUAAACUGUCUAUAACUUGUAAUGCCAAGCGAAAUACCCGGACCACAAUAUUGAACAAUUGGUCACCAAUUUAAUGUUACAAGCACAAUUGCCGAUUUGUCAUAAAAACAGGUAUUUGAAACGGAUUUACCCAUCACCGCUAAUGAAAGUACUGAAACCGGUGUGAGAACUUGAGCAAAGCACAUUAAUUAUAUAUGGUUCAUUAGUAAUUGGGUUUUGAGUUUAUGUUACGAAACAUUCACAUACAUAAGGAAAAGCCAUGUGAUGGACCCCAGCAAGUAACAAAUGGACAACUACUACAGCUGCAACUUGCCACAACAAAACAUGCAUUAAAUUUCCAACAGUUUAUAAGAAUUUACUGUCAUCCUUGAAACGGCAAGGUAGGGUUUAGUACGGUGUUUGUCCAUCGUAUUCUUUUCAAACAGCAACCAACUUACCAGUUACAACUUGGUGAAUUAUUUAUAUAUUCGCGUUGUUACUUGCUUUCCUUUGUCAGAUUUCAUAAAAUAAAUUAAAUUACACCCAACAAUACAUGCCUGCCUGUGAUCUGAACAUAGCCCACAUAUGAUCGAUAUGGAUUAUAUUUUUUUGUAUAUAUUGUAUAUUCUAUUCAUAUAUAUAUUAUCUCUAAUUAUAUAUCAGUGUUCUUAGAGUAUACUCCUAUUUGUUCUCUGAUGAUAACAUAUUUUAUACAAACGAAAUUUGUUAGAAUAUUGAAACAGUGUUGGAGAUAAUUAAUUAGGAUCAAGAUCUCCUGCAGUUAUUUUUUGAACAGCCUGCGUCUCAGCCAUUGAUUUAUAUUAUACUUAAAUAAAAUGUUUAUGGAAAAAUAUAAUGAGAAAAAUACUUGGUGAAAGAUGAAGCCGCAUUCCUCUUACAGUUGUUUUUCAAGGUGUAUCCGCAUCCGAGUAGUAAUUAACAAAGUCAACAGAAAAAUGCUCUUUUUAUAAUCUCGGGAAGAAAAGCUUCAUACAUGCUGGUAUACGUAAAUGCAUGAGCAUGAUUGAGAAAAGAAACAAAAGGAAAAUGUUAACAGGUCCACUCCAAUUUUUGGUGUAUACGUAAAGGGGAGAAAAAUACUCAUAUAUCAAGUGGAACAAGGUUUCAGAUAAAAAAAGUGGAAAAGGUUCAAAUAUUUUAAAUAACAUUUUAUAUUUAAAUAUUGUAAAUAAAAAAAUCAUUUAAAAAAAACAUUUAAGAUGAUCGAUUAAAUUUGUCAUGAAAGAUUAAUUAAAAGUUAAUGAAUAUUUUGUAUCUAUAUUAUAUUAUUGAUAUAAAAAAUUUAAUAGUUUUUAUCAAUGACUAAUAUCUUUUAAAAAAAAACUAAUUGAUUAUGCAUCUUUAAUGAGGAUCUCGUCUUGAUUACCAAUAAGGUCUAACUAAAUUCUUUUAGUAAAAUACGUGAGCUUAUAAAUUUUUUGAUAUUUGUUUUUUAUAUUUACAGAUAAAAAAAGAAAAUAAGAUUGCACAACAUGUACUAAAUGGGUAAGUUAAUGAUUGAAAAAAGAAGAAGCUAAGUUAAUAACAUAAUUCUAACUAAUUAAUUGCUGCAGGAAAAGAGCAUUAAAAGUAGUAAUUAUGAAGGGAGAGUCAACUGCACACCAAUAAACGUGUGACAUCGAUUUCUCUACACAAACUCACAUGCCUCUUCAUUAGCCAAUCUAAACUAGUAAAUGAUAAAAUCGCAAGUUAGGUACAACAGUGUUUUGUGGUCUAGUCAAUUGGGUGACAAUAGUGUUUAGGUAAGGUAUUAGUCUAUUACGAUCACUUCUUCCCAAAAUCACUGAUAUUUAAAAAAAUUUAGCAUAAGAAAGUAAUUAUUUUAAGAAAAUUAAUUUAUUGGAGAUUAAUUUUACUAAAAUAUUAUUAUUUUUUCUCUUAAUUUCAAUAAAUAUAUUAUUAAAUCUCCUAAGACAACAUUAUUUACUAUAAGAUAAAAUUAAAAUAUUUUUUUUGAAGAGAAAUUAAAAUAUAUUGAUGUAAUUAUGAUAAUUAUUAUAUUAUUUUAUAACUUCUAUAAUUUUUUAUAAUAUUUUCUUAAAACUAACUAUUAGAUUAAAAUUCAUUUCAUAUAUACUUUAUAUAUGUAAAAUUUCAUAUUAACUUAAAAUCAUUUAUUAUUUCGUUCAUAUAAAUUAAAAUUGACAUAAUAUAAACAUUUUAAAAUAUAUUAAAAUAUAAAUAAUUUGAUUACCUUCUUAUGAUUGUUUAAUUUUGAUAAAAAUUGAAAUAAACAAUCUUAAUAAUAUAUAAAUAUAAUUCAAUGAUUGAAUCAAUAAAAAUCAUAUUUUAUAUCAAGUUAUAAAAAUUAUAUAAUAACUCUCAAAGUUAUAUCAAUGCAAUUUAAUAUUUCAUCAUUUUUAUAUAUCUUAUUCAAAAUUGAGAACAUCAAUCAAUUUGAAAUUUUUUGAAAGGCUAAAACUACAAUAAUUUUGAAAUGGAGGAAGUAAUUUAUUUCAACCUUCAAAACAAAUACACAUUUCUGAACUUAUAUUACUAACAUUUUCCUUUUUACAUACUUAUAUUACAUGAUAGGUAGAUAAGCAUGUUUUCAUGUAUGCUACUAGGAGUUUAGUACUAAGACAUGUAUAUGUAACAUAUGUUGAGAGAAUAAUUUUUUAAAUAGAUUUCAAUAUCCUGGAAAUUAUUCUCCCUGAUUCCCAGCAGAAAAAUAUAUCACCCAUGAACUUAUAUUAUGAAUAGCACAUAGUUUUUAAUUAGCGUUUAUACAAGUAUUUUUUAGAUACUUAUAUACACAAAUUUAAAUCUAUUAUUCAGUCUUUAGUUAAAUGAAAUAUGUUAUUUUAUCGUACAUUAAUUCUUUUUUAUAAUCCAAUGCUUUUUCUAGAACCUCUAGCCAAUAUUGUUUCCUUAAGGAAUUGUUUUGGUGAGUUUAAGGUUGGCAAUGACUGGAAAUAAUGGUUAACGGUGAAGGAUGAGCUGAGUACUGCAUAUGCUUGUUUAAUGUUUAAUGUUUAAUGUACAGAGAAAUUAUUGAGAGGGUGAGAAGGGGUUGAUAGGGGGAAUUGGGGUGAGGACAAUCGCGUUCGGUGGCUGCAAGAGGCAAAGGAGGUAUAAGAAGGAGGUGAAAAAAAAAAAGAAACUUUCUCUUAAUUAUAUAUAUAUACACGUGCUUAAUAGAAAACAAAAAUUAUCCUUUAAAAAAAUAGAGAAAAAUUAUACUGUUUUCAUUUCAGAAUCAUUUUUAUGUUUUUUUACGAAGCUUCUGUUAUUUUAGAAAUUUAAAGUAUAAUCAAGUUUUUUCCAAUUUAUUAGAUGUAUGUUUUACAAUCUAUUUUUCUCCGCGCAUCGUCUUUUUUUCUUUUAUUAAUCAUAUAGGAAGUUAAAGAAGAUAUAUCAGAUGAAAUAAUAAAAGAGGGUCUUUUAGUAAAAGUAUCAUAAUAUUUUACAAAAAAAUAAACAUUUUAAAUUUAUGCAUAUUAACUUUAAAUAACAAUAAUUUUGUAACAAAAUGAACAGUUUAUGAAGAGAUAUUAAAUAAAAAUACAUUUAAUGUUAUUACAAAUAUAGAAAAAUGUAUGAAAUUGUCCUUUCUUAAAAUAACUUGAGAAGCUGAAGAGGACGUCACGGGGUGUAAAUGAUUCUGCUGAGUUGUGUUGUGCUUCUUCUGCUUCCAAAUCAAAAAGAAAAGAACAAUAACCUGCAGCAAACCAAGAGCACGAUGCAUGAAAAAUCCUAAAACAUUAGCAGGUUGGCACCAAAUUAAUGAGAAGCAGUGAGGGGGGAAAAGAAGAAGAAAAUAAUGGGCAAAGAGGGGAACAAGGACAAUAAUGAAGAUUUAGUUUUUGUCAGAUAAAGUGUAAAAAGAAAAAUUAAAGUAGCUGUUCAUUGGCAUAUUUUGCCUUCUAUAAAUGUUUUUAGUGAAAAUAAUAUAUUCCCCAUAUAUUGAAUAAUAUUUGUAUGAUUAAACUUACUAUAUAUAUGUGUGUAAAUUUUUAGUGAUUAUAUAAUUAUUAAUUAAUUUUUAAUAUUGAACAUUGUUAUAUAAUUAUAUAGUCUAAAUUUAUUAUUUCUAUUUCUCAAUCUUAAUCAAUAAUUUUCCUCUCCCAAUAUGCAUAGUUACACACACACACACACACACACACAUAUAUAUAUAUAUAUAUAUAUAUAUAUAUAUAUAUAUUAAAAUACUAAGCAUUUUCAAUGAUAUUUUUACUUAAUCAUUUAAAUAAAAUCAAAAUUAUAUUCUAAUUAUUUCUGUUAUAUACAAAUACCUGUGAUUAUUUUUUUGAAAAAAUAUGUACAACACGCCUAAAGAUAAACAGUAUGGAAUAGAAAAUAUUGAAACAUCAACUAAUGAUUUAUUAAAUUUUAAUGUAUUAAAUAUAAUAUUUUUAUGAAUGUUUAUAUUUUUAUACUUNNNNNNNNNNNNNNNNNNNNNNNNNNNNNNNNNNNNNNNNNNNNNNNNNNNNNNNNNNNNNNNNNNNNNNNNNNNNNNNNNNNNNNNNNNNNNNNNNNNNNNNNNNNNNNNNNNNNNNNNNNNNNNNNNNNNNNNNNNNNNNNNNNNNNNNNNNNNNNNNNNNNNNNNNNNNNNNNNNNNNNNNNNNNNNNNNNNNNNNNNNNNNNNNNNNNNNNNNNNNNNNNNNNNNNNNNNNNNNNNNNNNNNNNNNNNNNNNNNNNNNNNNNNNNNNNNNNNNNNNNNNNNNNNNNNNNNNNNNNNNNNNNNNNNNNNNNNNNNNNNNNNNNNNNNNNNNNNNNNNNNNNNNNNNNNNNNNNNNNNNNNNNNNNNNNNNNNNNNNNNNNNNNNNNNNNNNNNNNNNNNNNNNNNNNNNNNNNNNNNNNNNNNNNNNNNNNNNNNNNNNNNNNNNNNNNNNNNNNNNNNNNNNNNNNNNNNNNNNNNNNNNNNNNNNNNNNNNNNNNNNNNNNNNNNNNNNNNNNNNNNNNNNNNNNNNNNNNNNNNNNNNNNNNNNNNNNNNNNNNNNNNNNNNNNNNNNNNNNNNNNNNNNNNNNNNNNNNNNNNNNNNNNNNNNNNNNNNNNNNNNNNNNNNNNNNNNNNNNNNNNNNNNNNNNNNNNNNNNNNNNNNNNNNNNNNNNNNNNNNNNNNNNNNNNNNNNNNNNNNNNNNNNNNNNNNNNNNNNNNNNNNNNNNNNNNNNNNNNNNNNNNNNNNNNNNNNNNNNNNNNNNNNNNNNNNNNNNNNNNNNNNNNNNNNNNNNNNNNNNNNNNNNNNNNNNNNNNNNNNNNNNNNNNNNNNNNNNNNNNNNNNNNNNNNNNNNNNNNNNNNNNNNNNNNNNNNNNNNNNNNNNNNNNNNNNNNNNNNNNNNNNNNNNNNNNNNNNNNNNNNNNNNNNNNNNNNNNNNNNNNNNNNNNNNNNNNNNNNNNNNNNNNNNNNNNNNNNNNNNNNNNNNNNNNNNNNNNNNNNNNNNNNNNNNNNNNNNNNNNNNNNNNNNNNNNNNNNNNNNNNNNNNNNNNNNNNNNNNNNNNNNNNNNNNNNNNNNNNNNNNNNNNNNNNNNNNNNNNNNNNNNNNNNNNNNNNNNNNNNNNNNNNNNNNNNNNNNNNNNNNNNNNNNNNNNNNNNNNNNNNNNNNNNNNNNNNNNNNNNNNNNNNNNNNNNNNNNNNNNNNUUUAUUUAAAUAGAAUAAUUUUUAUUUGGUUGUAUAUUUUUAUUAAAUGCUCUAUUUAUUAAAUAUAAAAAAUAUAAAUAUUUUUUAUUUUCAAGAUAUUAAAUAUAUAAUGUUGAUUUCUCGAGUGAUUUGUUGGUUUGGAUUUUAAAUCUCAAGCUUCAAGUCCUCGGUUUGAAACUAGCAACGUCCAAACAAAACAUUAUUUCAUCUAUAUUUCAUUUGAUUUUUUUUAAUUAACGUUAAUUUUAAGUAACACAAAAUAUAUGAAUCGACUUGUAUUAGGUUAUUUUAACUUAAUUGCUGAUUUUGAGUUUCAAUAUUAGAUAUAUAGUUGCAAUAAGAAUACUUGUAGUCUCCAUUAAAAAAAGUAAUUUUAAGUAAUUUAAAGUGACAAUAUUUAUGGAUAAAAAAAUUAAAAAUUAUUUUAUUAUAUGAUUAUAUAAAAAUCUAAAAUAUACAACAUUCUGUUGGUCCCGUAGAAAUGGAUUCAAAUUAUUUUUUAAGCAAGAUUCGGAAAUACUGUACACCUAUAACAUGGUAAAAAAUGCAAAAAUAUAUUAAGUAUUUUUCUUAAUAAAAUAAAUUUAUUUUUAGUUACUUAAAAUCAAAUUUAAGAUAUGAUGAUAACAUGUUUCUUAUAAAUUUAAAAUUAAUUAAAAAUUUACCCUAAAAUUUUUGUAGUUGCUAGCAUUUUUAGUUUUAAUUUCUGCACAAAAAUAUAUGUUUUAAAAAUUAUAUAAAAGUAUUUAUGAAUUAAACUUUAUCAAAGUUAUAAUGAUAUUAUAUUUAAUUUCUGUGAUUAGAAUAACUUUUCGUUUUAGCCAAUAUAUCAAAACGUUUUACACUUUGUUAGCGUCCUCGUAAAAACAACUCUACAUUUUGAUAUACAAAUAUGUAUCUAUUAUGGACAUAAAUUUGCUUAAAAAAAACUUGUGGACCUAAAUAUUAAGUUUUUUUUUUAUAAUCCAUAAAUAUGGACAUAGGGCUGGAAAAUGGAAAUGGUGGAUUGGAUGUACCCAAUAAGAGGCCCAGUAGAUUCAAGGCUGUUAUAUACCCAAUCAAAAUCUUCUGCAUUUCAGCCAAAAAGUCAAAAACAUUUUGGUGAAACACAUAAUUUAUUUCAUAUGUGAUGUGUCAAGUGAUUUUUAUAUAAAAACUUCGUAACCCAUUACUUAGAGACUCUUCGCUAUUAUAUAAAAAAAAAUAAACAAGAAUAGAAGAAGACCAGAAAAGUACUAGUUAUGAUAUUAUACGUUAUGUGAAUUUUAUUUAUUUAUUUGCAACUACCAUGACUCCUGGCUCCCGAAAACAUCGGAUUACCACCUUCAAAGCUGUAAGUCUUAGAUCCUAACUUUCAUUGUGGUAUUGUUCGAAAAUCAGAAGAUUGAAUUGAAAAGGGAUAGAAAUAUUUGCAUUUUUUUCACCUCAAUGAUCAAGGAAUGUAAAUAAUCACACUAAGGCUCAUCAAUUUAUCUUUUGUUUCAUUAUCUUUUAUAACGUCACAUUGUCAUAUUCAUUACUAUAAAUUAAUGCGGUAACCAGAAAUGGUGAUGAUUUUUUGUGCGAAUUUAACUGAAGCCUCCUUAAAAUUACGGGAGCGGACUGCCUUGGUAAUAUUUUAAUUUUAUCACUAGGCUAUGGUUUAUGGUGGGAUAUAUAUCUCUUAAAAAAAUAAAAUUGGUGGGACAUAUAUCUUGGUACUCAUUAAUAUAAUUUAUUGCCUAAAAAAAUUAAUAUAAUUUCUAUGUUCAGGAGUUAUUGUCGGCUUCAAUAUCAAAAUAAUCACUUUAAAUCCUAUACUUAAAGUGGAGUUAUUACUUUCAAGAUCAAACAAAGCAUUUUAAUAUCAAACUGAUCGAGGUGGAAUUUGAGUGAGGUGGGGGAAAAUGGAGCUUCAGUGGCAAGUGGGGACUAUGACGACGAUGGCCACCCCUCUCGCCAUUUUUAUUUCAUCUAACAUUGUGUAAUCUGAUUUUUCAUUAUUCUUUAAUUAAUUUAACAUGAUUUGUAAGAAUAAUAUCUAAUAAUUUUCAUAUAGGAUUUUCAAAACGUGAUUUGGAAAGCUAUAAUAGUUGGAUGGAUGUGAAAGCUACAUCAGCUGUGAAAACCCGUUAUAGAUUUGGAGGAUUAUUGCAAGCAGUCCAUAUAUAUAGCACCUAUUUUAGUUAAGAUCUUACUCCAAAUAUAUAUAUAUAUCAUGCUUAAUUAUCAAUCAAGAUCUUGCAACAACAGUUAUUUAAUUAUUUAUGAUGACUACCAUGUCAAUCUUUAUUUUUGCAAAUUUUUAAUGUGCUCUGAGGAUUAUAAUAGCACACUGUUUAUGCUAUGGCACAGUAACAUAGUUUUAUACUUAAUUAAGUUGAUAAUAUGCCAACGAGCAAGGAGUGAGUCGCGCAGUGCGCACGUGCUCAGGAUGCUAGCUUCCUCUAUUUGUUUCAUUUCACUUACCUUGCUGUAACGUUACUUGGUUCCUUCGUCCUUGGCCAAUUGCUGAUUAUAUAUAGAGAGAUAUAAAUAAUUCACUAUUUAGUAGCUAGAUUACGACAGAAAGAAAAUGUAGCAUCAAUCAACCACAUGAAAAGUGUUAUUCGGCGUCUUGUUUGGAUGUUUGCACACCAUAUAUAUAAUAAUAUGUGUAUUUUCACUUUAUUGAAUUGAAGUGUAAUAGUUAAUUGAGAUGAGCUCAAUGAGUAUAUAAUAGUUGACUGCGAUGAGCUCAGUUUGUUGCAGAUACUGGAAAUAUUACCUAAACUGUAGUUUCAACUAGAUUAAUUAGCGUUGUAGGUAACUUGAUCCAAACAUCGCAUUUCCCCUGCAACAUAUAUAUAUAUCUUAUUUAAUAGGAUUAGUGUUGCAUUUUCUUUAUAAAUCAUUUGGAUAUAUAAUUAUUCAAAUUCAUAAAUGAGGUCGCUGAGAGGAGAACUGAGUGAAAGGAAAGGUGCCUAAGACUUGUGGUAUUUGAUUAGUUUUACAAUAAAUUUAUUGGAACAAAUAUGUUUUAUAACUCUUCCAAAUACUUUCAGUCAUAAUCUGUUUUUCAGGGGAUGAAAGACUUUACUUGUGUGGCUAGAUGGUAUUUUCAAUAUCAAAGAAAAAUACUAUAUAGAAAAACCUAAUAUCAAGUAUAUAACUCCUUGUUUUGAUUGCAAAUAUAUAUAUAUAUAUAUAUAUAUAUAUAUAUAUAUAUGAAGUAUUUCAAAAUUCAUACAAUAGUUGUUCAUGUUUUCACACGUGGGUCCCUCAUUUACUCGUCUCUCUCUUUAUCUCUCCUUAAUUAUAAACUUUUCUGAGUGCCAUCAGUGCCGGAGGCUAUCACGGGAAGGGAAAACAUGCGUGAAAUCAGUUUAAUAAUAGUUAACUGAACUACUAAUUAUAACAAGUCAGUUUCAUAAAACUGAACUUAAAAAAAAGUUCAGUUCAGUUUCCAUGAGAUUAGUUCUGUUUUUUUAGUCUAAUUUAGUGUAAUUUUUAAAUAUUUCAGUUGAAUUCAGUGUUUUUGAACACCCCUAGUUGAGUAGUGUUUAUAUUAUUACAAAGGUGAAGUGUGACCAUUUACUAUUUUUUUUCACGGUCCAUUUCCUUUUUUAAUAGUAGGAUAUUUGUAUACUCUAAUAGUGAAACCUUUCUUCUACAUGAAGUACUCAUCCCCAUGUGUAUAUUUUUUUUAGAGUUGUUAUGGUAACGAGAAAAAUUUAAAGGUCUCUUUGUUUUAGUGGAAGAGGGAACGAAUAAUUGUGAAACUAUGGAAAUUAAACAAUGAUAAUUUGGAUUCUUCCACCGUUUGGAAUGGUUCACUGGAUGAAAAAAAGAAGGCAUAUGUAGGUAUAAUUGAAAGAUGUCUUCGGUCUAAAUUAGAAAGGAAUGGAGAGAAAAAGGUUAUUUUGUGCACACAAAAUAAAAAUAUUCUUAUUUAUAUUAUAUCCGAUUUCUUAUAUAAGGUAUUUAUGUUAUUUUAUAUACAUUUCUUUUACUAUUUUUUUUCAUUUUAUGUCUCAUAUCAACAAUUUAAAAAAAAUAUUUUAGUUUUUAUUCAUUAUUUCUCUUUGCUUUUUUCUUUUCACUUUGAUCAAAACAUGCCAUAAGGAUUUUGGUACAAUUUUUUUUAUUCAAUAAUAAUUGAAUGACUUUAGACAUAUACAGUGAAAAAGAGAUAGCGAGAAACAGAGAACGCUUCAUUACAUUGUGUUUGGAUCGGAAAUUAAAUAAAGUGGAAAUCAAUAGAAAGAAAAGAAAGAGAUUGAAAUGACAAAAAUAAAAAGAAAUGAGAUAAAAAAAAAAUAUUGUUUGGAUGGAUGGAAAUAAGAAAGAAAGAAGUAAAGGAAUUUUUUUUAUCUGUUUAGAUGAAUGCAAAAUAGAGCGAAAAGAAAUAAAUGUUAUAUGAAAAAUAUUUUUAUACAAAUUAAAAAAUAUUCUAUUAUUUUUUCUUAACAUGAAAUUAUUUAAUAUAAUUAUAAUGUAAAAAUAAUUUAAAAUAUUAAUUAUCACAUCUUUAUUAUAUAUAUUAAUUAAAAUAGACUUAAUCUUUUAGAAAGUAAAUGUUAAAAUAAAAUUAAUAUAUAUCUUAAUAAGGUGUAAGUAAAAAUAAUAAAUUAUGAAAACCAAAUUAAUAUAAACUUUUAUUUGUAUAAAUAUGAAUAAUGGUGAUUUAAAGCUUAUUUGACGUAAAAUAAAUUGAUUUUUAAAAUUAAAUUUAAAACUCAGUAACCUGUAUCAUGACAAAGUAAAUGAGAAGUCCUUAUCAGUAACAUGUAUCAUGACAAAGUCAAUGAGCUGUUAGUCUUGAAGAAUGAAGGACGUUAAUUAGCGAAUGUUUAUGUAAAUUUAUUUAUAAGUUCUGGAAAUUACUAAUCAUAAAACCACUAUCGCUAACGGCUACACAACAUUUUACAACCUACGUACAGAGCCGCUCUUAUUCCUAUAUUACACAAUACACAGCCUUCUAAAUCUCAAUUUCUGUGACUUCUCAUUGUCAUAUACAUAAAAAGUCGAAGCCUACUAUGGAUUCGUUUAAUCUAUAAGAGCCUAAGCCACAUCUUUGUUUCACUCAGGAUCCUUCACAGGUGAAAGCUCAUAGUUUGUUUUUUUUUUUUUUUUCCUAUUGAAACAACAACGAAAUUCAGUUGCUGUCCAAUUUUGUCCAAAUCAUCGGUUGAAGAACAUGAAAACGUAUCAAAGACGACAAAAGAAAGAAGUUCACAGUGCAAACAAAAUAUUUUGCAAAUGCUUAACGUAUAUAUAUGUAUGUAUAUAUACUUGUUGACUACAAAAGUUGACAUUAAUUGUCCGGCUUAGUAAUAAAUCAACCAAUGGCUUUCAUGAAGCUCUACGGUUAAAGCAAAACCAAUAAAAUAACUUGGUCCCUAAGAUAGCAAUCAAGCAGUCGCUUCAUGACAUUAUUAACAAUAAAAAAAUGCUAGCUGGGUGAAUCUUUUAUAAUUCCAACAAACCAUUGAUCUUCAAAAUGUGUUUCAUAGUAAUAAUGAUAGAGAUCCUAAAUUACAGGUACUUAUAGGACAUUACAACACUAUCAAUUAUCACGUUAUAUAUUUUUCAUUUUUCUUAUCACAUGAAGAUUUAUAUAUAUUACUUAUUAUACUUUUAUGUUUGGUUCUCUUUUUUUCUCUACGUGUUAGCAUAUGACAGUGUUUAUAUAUCAUUUUCCUUAUUAAAUUGCUGAAUAGUGAAUACAGCCAAAGUUUCAAGUUCUAAGCAUUCGAUCACUUUCCCAGACAUAACCUUAAGAAACCAUAACAUUCCUUUAAAUCCAAUAAUAGAAAGGUCGAAGGAGAGAGGAAAAUAAAACAUGCAUACACUCUGCACCAUUUAAUCUCUUCAUGAUGCCACAUGGGGGCAAAUGUAGGAGCCUGCAUGCUACAGCACACCAAUGCUUAUGCGUUGUAGCAGUGUCAAAGAACUCGUUUCUCCCUGACCAAAAUAUCAUACUCAAAUCUUAUAAAUAAAUUUGUUUCGUCCGAAGGGUGGAUGUGAACGGACUCUCAGGAAGUAUUUGGUAAUAUUCCACUAUAUUCAUAUAAUCAUACUGUUUAAAUAAAAGCAUGCCUAAGCCAAGUUUUACCUCAUUGUGGAUUCAAGAAUAACGAGAGACUGGUAAAACCGUAAAACCAAAAAAUAUACAAAUGAAGAAUAGAUCAUGCAAUUAAUUACAGUGAGACGGGUCACCGAAAAGUUGUUCCUCCAUUUGCAACAAAAUAUGAAAUAAAGCCCAAAAAGUUCAUUAAUCAGAUUAUUUCUGUAAUUGACUCGUACGCUCAUACAUUAAACAAUCCGAUCAUUUUGGUACAGACGUUGCAAUUCAAAUUAGCGGGUACAUGACUUGUUGACUUUCAUUGUCAAUAUAUGACUUUUAGUGGGUACACCCAAAAAAAAAAAAUUAGUUUUAGUGGGUACAUGUCCAAAUCUCAGAAUGGGAUCAUUUUCUCUAUUCUAAACAUUUGCGUAUAUGUACACACAAUAACAUGCGGAAGUAAAACAGGAGAGAAAAUAUAAAUAAGAAACUCGUCUGUACUACAAAAACCACAAAAACAGUCCGUUGUCCCCAAAAAAAUGGAAAAUAAAUUGGAGCUUGUGUAUUUUUAAAAGUAACGCAUCAAACUAAUUAUAAGAUUAAUUUCGCAUAAUUACAUUGCAAGAGCACUGCCUCGGAAAUAUGUUAAAAAAAAAUAUGUUGUUAACCAUGGCAAUAUCUUCACUCGCGCCACUAAUAAUAAUUCAAUUGCGCGUGGUUCAGUUAUUUCCGUUUUUCUUCAUUGGCCACCACUUGAGGUUUAGCCUCUCUCUCUCUCUCUCAUGUUCCCUUCAUGGCAAGGCUAUAUUUGAUUCUCAAACAUAUAUAUUCACAUUUUUUUUUCUAUUGGAAUCCCGACAUCAUCACAACCUUUACAAAAGUUGCUUCUUUAUGGGUGAGCUUGGUGCGUGUAUGAGGAUCUGCCUGUGAUUUAGAUUGGCAUAAAGUUGUUGUUAAUGUUGCUACAUGUGCGUUUCAUGUUUCAUUUCAUAAUCCAUGCUCUUCUAAUAUCCUUGUCUCUUCCUCCAAAAUAUUCAUAUUUAUUGGCUUUCUAAGUUUCUCAUGUAACUUUUCCACACCUUUUUAUAUAUAUCAUAUCCUGAAUGCUGUUCCUUACAGGGUGUGCUGCCAAGCUCUUGCCUUCCUGAAACCUCCCCUCAAAUCUCAUAUUUCCAUGGCUUUCACGGUGAGGGUUGAGCUUCUUCCUUCAACCCCAGGUCAAUUUCAUUUUCAACCUUUUUCUCUUUGUGUUUCUUUCACAUAAUAAUUAUUCAAGGAAUACUUCAACCCAACAAUAAUUGCCCUUUUUUGUCUUUUAUCAAAUUCUGUGCCUGAGGUAUGGGUAAUGGGGUUGAUUUGCUUCUUUACAAUCUCUUUCUCUUUAAAGACAAUGAUAAUGCAAUAAGAAAACAUAUUUAGGUACAAUGUUUUUAACCCCGUUUUUCUUUCUCUUUUUCUUUUUGUGAACAGACACGGGAAGAACAGAAAUCAGUUUUUUUGAAAGAUAAAAGAGAUAAGAAAUUAAUAAAUAAAAAUACUUAUAUUUGACAAUGAUUGGGAUGAUCCUCCCCGUUGAGAUGCUGUGGAAUGAAAGAUGCUAGUGUUGAUCUGGGAUUUUGGAGAAAGGAAGAAAAGAAGGUUUUGAUAUACUAAUAAUUAGAGCAUCAUAAAGAGUAGAAUUUGAUAGGUAGGUGAAGAAGCCAAUAUGGCAACACCAGCAAUGCAGGCAGUAAACACCACAAGGAAAAAAAUGACAAAACAAUUGACAGGAAAAAGGGAUGAUACACCUUUGCAUUCUGCAGCAAGAGCAGGGAAUUUGGCUGUGCUGAAAGAUACCAUUUUGGAAACUGAUGAGGCUGAAUUGCAUGAAUUAUUAGCCAAGCAGAAUCAAGAUGGAGAAACGCCUCUUUAUAUUGCUGCUGAAUAUGGUUACGUUGAUGUAGUUAGGGAGAUGAUUCAGUAUUAUGAUCUUGCUGAUGCUGGAAUUAAGGCUAGAAAUGGUUUUGAUGCAUUGCACAUUGCUGCCAAACAAGGGGAUUUAGGUAAUGUGGUUGGUUUGCUUUAUCUCAUUAUCUUGCUUGUUUGAUUUUAAGAGGGAAUCUCAGUUCUCUUUGCCUUGUAGAUGUACUUAAGAUCCUUAUGGAGGGUCAUCCUGAGUUGUCGAUGACUGUGGAUCCAUCCAACACCACAGCUUUGCACACAGCUGCAAUUCAAGGGCACACUGAGAUAGUGAAAUUCCUAUUGGAAGCUGGAAGUAGUCUGGCAACCAUUGCUAGAAGUAAUGGGAAAACAGCUCUGCAUUCUGCUGCAAGAAAUGGACAUUUGGUGGUUGUGAAAGCACUUCUUGAGAAGGAGCCCGGUGUUGCAACGCGGACCGAUAAGAAGGGCCAGACAGCACUUCACAUGGCAGUGAAGGGACAGAACAUUGAGGUGGUGGAGGAGUUGAUAAAAGCAGAUCCCUCAUCUAUAAACAUGGUUGAUAGUAAGGGGAACACAGCAUUGCACAUAGCAACCAGGAAAGGCAGGGCUCAGGUAAACUAGGUCAUGCUUGCCAUAAAUUUCAUUAGAAAUUUACUCAUGAGCUUCAUGUAUUUAUAAUGUUGUGAUGACAAGUGAAUGGUGAUUUAGAUCACCACCCCUGCUGUCGAUGAAUUUGUCUUUUCUAUGAUUUGGCUCUCCGUAGCAGUUCUCACAGUAUUCUCUAGUAAUCGCUACAACUAUCAGAUUGAAUUAUUUGAUCCUGAAACAAGCAUCUUAAGUUACACAUUUGGUACUUGAGUUCGUUCGUGACAUCAAUGGAGAUUAGAAAAGAAUCCAGGAGAUUUGGUUCAUGUUUGUAAUGAAAUCUGGUAUAUUAUUGCUAUUUUGACCUAGUAUGCAUUUGGCCCCUAACUGCUUAUUGUCCUCCAUGUCAUGAAAUUCUGAUGCAUUGUCUUCAUAGAGCAAACUAGGAGCCAAUUUUGUACAUAAGAUUUGAGUAGUUUUCCAGUUCCAAUAACUAUAGAUACGAAAGUGGCAAAUCUUAUAUUUAGGCAACAUUUUGAUUUGUUAUAUAGGGUGUACUAGGGAGUGGAGUUUUAGAGGGAGAGGGAACGGAAGACAAUUGUUUUUAAAAAGUGAAGUUAUAUAAUAUUUAUAAAAAUAGUUUAAUUUAUUUAUUUUUUGAAUGGAGUUCAAUUUCUAUGUAGUGUAAAAAAAAUUAGAUCCUUGACUAAUAAAAAAUUAUUAAUAGUAUGGCUUUUAAGAUAAUUAUUAAAAAUGUCAAAACAUAACAAUUUGUAACCGUGUAGAAACCUUUUAAACAUGAGUCAUGCUUACAUAUCUUAAUUAAUUUAUUUGUGCAGAUUGUAAAGUUGCUUCUAGAACAGAAGGAAAAUGUUACAAGUGCAGUGAACAGAUGUGGUGAAACAGCAGUAGACACUGCUGAGAAAACAGGAAACCAUGCCGUGCAAGCCAUUCUUCUUGAACACGGUGUUGAGAGUGCAAGAACCAUAAAACCCCCUCAGGGCACAACAGCUACCACAGCCCGUGAGUUGAAACAAACGGUGAGUGACAUAAAGCACGAGGUCCACCACCAGUUGGAACACACACGCCAAACCAGAAAACGCGUUCAAGGCAUUGCCAAACGUAUAAACAAAAUGCAUGCAGAAGGACUCAACAAUGCUAUAAAUUCCACAACUGUGGUGGCAGUGCUAAUUGCCACCGUGGCAUUUGCUGCUAUUUUCACAGUCCCUGGCCAAUUUGUUGAUGACCCAAAUAACAUUCCUGCGGGAAUGUCCCUUGGUGAAGCAAACAUAGCCCCCCAAGCCACGUUCAUCAUUUUCUUUGUGUUUGAUUCCAUUGCACUGUUUAUCUCUUUGGCUGUUGUGGUGGUGCAAACCUCGGUCGUGGUUAUAGAAAGCAAAGCAAAGAAGCAGAUGAUGGCUGUGAUUAACAAGCUGAUGUGGCUGGCUUGUGUUCUUAUUUCGGUGGCAUUCUUGGCACUGUCUUUUGUUGUGGUGGGAAAGGAAGAGAAGUGGCUGGCCAUAGGAGUGACCAUUAUAGGGACAACCAUAAUGGCUACAACGUUGGGUACUAUGUGUUACUGGGUCAUUAGGCAUCGCAUUGAGACCUCCAAUUUGAGGAGCAUUCGGAAAUCUUCGUUGCAAAGCAAGUCAAAGUCUUUUUCAGUGUCGGCUUUUUCAGAUUCUGAGCUACUAAACAGUGAGUAUUAUAAGAAAAUGUAUGCGAUUUAGAGCUUACCAACCCUGUUCCUAAUUCACUCUUGCUGCUUCUUUUUAAAAAGCACAGGGCCAGAUGGAAUUAUGUUCAACUAAAGUGGAACUUAAAUUGUAUGUCUCAAGAAAUGGCUAAUGCUAAUAACAUGCUCAAUAAAUCAUAAUAGUAAAUAGUAGGUCCCAUUCUUAAUAAAUAAGAAAACCAGAGAGCGAAGUGGAAUAUCUAACUAUCGAAACAAAGCAUGUAUAGUUGAACAUUAAUUCAUUCCGCAUCAUCCAUUUCGAUCUUCUCUGGCAACUUGCAAAAAUAAACAACCAAAUCAGCUAUAAACAUGUUUUCGUUUAGUUUUGAUCAACAAUUAAUAUAUAUAAAAAUGUUAGUAACACACAUUUUAUCAUUUUAUGAUUUUAAUAAAUUUUAACCAACAAUAAUACUUUAAAAAAUAUACUAAAAUAUGUUGCUAUUGCUGAUACUGUUCCAAUGAUUUCAAGAUUAGUACAACUCAAAACUCAAUCAUUUUCCUUAUCUCUAUUUGUCUUUGAAUUCAAAUUGACUCCCAUAGUAUAUUUGGUAGCUAAGUUUCUAAAGAGAAAGGGAAUAGACAAAUUUUUCAUUUCUCAGCCAUCUUUUUUUUUUAUAAAAAAAUAUAAAUUUUUAAUUUAAAAGUAAAAUAUUUAACCUCCAUCCCUUUCUCUCCAAAACACAACUCUCAAACAUAACCAUAUAUGGUUUAAUUCAACCAUCUGGUAAUUUUAUUUGCGAUGCUCAGUGAAUCGCUUGCCUAUACACUUCAUCAUCUUCGCAGUUUAAGAAAGUACACUUUAGGGGGUGGAGGUGGGGUUAUUUAUUGAGUCGUUGCUUUCUCAUGAACACAUCUGGUCUUUGUUAUGGUCUUGUGAAAUAGUUUGUUGAUGAAAGGUUCGGUUGAUUGAAAUAGCCAUUCAGAUCAUUACUUCCCAGGUGGUCAUGUAAAAUGUCUGCAGCUGUCUUCGUAUGAAUAGUGUUAAAAAUCAUAUUCCCAAUAUUUUCUCCUAAGGUGAACAUUCACUUUAAAGCAUAAUAACCAUUAAAACUAAAAUCAAGAGUAAAUUUUAAUGAGUCUAUAAUGCUAAUACAUCAACUGUUAAUUUUCCCAUGAAUGUUUUUUACUUUUUUUUAUCUUUAGAAAGAGCUCCCUUUCAGAGGAGUUAAAUGUUUGUAUACGCAGUAAAGAGCUAAUACUAGACACCCAAGAGUCGGGUUAAUUCCUGUGUGCACUGGGCAGAUAUUCCAUAUCUGCCACUUCCAGACAGCCAGGUUAUCCUAACGUCUAUUAUUUUAACUAUAUUAUGGCUGGGGUAAAAAGGAUAACAGCUCUCAAUGCAUCAAGAUUUACGAGAAUGUAAGAAAAACGCCAAAUUGAAGGAACGCUAAUGAUUCAAAAUGACUUGCGUCCUAAAAAUUAAAUCCAUAAAUAAAAACUUUACAUUUAAGGUUUUCUUUUUCCUUCCUCAAUGUUGAGGCACAGACGGUCUCUUUUCCACCAUUUCAUAAUGAAGAACAAAAUUAUCCUGCAAGAAGGCUGUCCGUUAGAGGCCUAAAUUAUUAUAUCGGAAAAAAAAUGAUAAUAUAUAACUUGGGGUGCGUGCAUGUGUCCAUUCAUGCAGUAUGAGUACAAAAACAAAAACAAAAACAAACCUUCCGGACUGUUUCAAAUGUGUUUGGAUCAAAACAGUGGUAAGAUCCUCUCUCGUAUGUGUUUGUUUUGACAAGCGGCUCCAUGUUGGGAACUCUUAUAAACCAUAAACGAUGCUCUUUAUGAUAAAACCAACCACGUUUGUAACUGCCAGCAAUAACCCACCCUUGUUAAUAAUUAUUGCUAUUAAUAAACACACACACAGAAUAACAAUUUAAAUACUCUACAGACUAAAAUAAUUCAGAACUAAGACCAAAUCAUCCAAAAACAACACAACAAAAAAGGGUGCAUGUGAGUGAAUACAUACAGUUCAUUUGCCGCGUAUAGUUGUGCUUCAUCUUUGGGCAUGCUGCAAUAAAAGAUCAAUUUUACUUAAUUAUAAUAUCAAGCAAGUCAAUGUGAAAGUGAACAAGAUCAGUUUUCAAAAAGCACCUGUAAAAUAUGUAAAACAAAGUUUCCACCGAAAACUUUGAAAAAUAACCUUGCUGCAUAACACAAAAAGACUUGACCUCAAUAAAACACAAAAGAUAAGGGCAAUGAAAUUAUAAAGCAAAAUAAAGAACAUCUCACGUGAAGAGCAGGAGGCUGUUUAACAUAAUAACAUUGUAACACACUGAACUCUGGAUCACCCUUGGCUGGUUCAUCAGACCACGGGGACCGAAAAGUCUUGUAAAGGUUUUCUGAUGAAUUCAAAUUCAACCCAAGUGUUGUAAGAUCAAUCCCAUGAGCAAGAUAUUUCAGGUUAGGAUCACUUAUAUGGACUACACUGAACAAGCCAAGUGCACCAAAUGGAUCUGGACUAGAUUGAGCAGUUUGCAUAGACUUCAUGCCCUGAUCCCUAAAAGACUGAUUUGCAGCUGACAUCUGCUGAAGGCGGAACUGGGACUGGUUCUGGUGCUGUUGAUACUGCUGGAUAAGCUGGUCAUAUGAACCCAUACCAGAAACCGUAUUUGGAGAAGUCAGAGGCCUUAGUCCAAUGCCAGGAGGCCCACUGGUCUAAACCAAAAACCAGAAGUCAUAAGACUGUCAGGAACUUGCUUUGGUGGGAAUACAGAAUUUCACUGUUUCAGUGCAAGUUAUAUAUAAAGAGAUGCAUAAUGCAUUCCCAUACAAAAGGAAGUGCCCCAUUUUCAGAAGUAGAAAAUUUGCUGACCUGGGAAUGAUAUGUUGAGUGUGAAGAUGGAAAAAUAUCCGUUCCAUGCAGAUGGAGAAGAUCUUGAUUGUUUACAGAUGAAAAUGAGACACCAUUGCUACUGACAGAAGGGGCAUGCUGCUGUUGCUGUUGUGUACGAUGUGAUGGAUAUGAUCCUCCCAAACUGAAACCAGCAGACCUCCCCAUCUGCUGCAGAUUAAAGGCAAACAAGAUUGAGAAUGGAUUUUGAUCCAUUAAUAUUAUUAUAAACAUAACAUGAAAAAUGUAUAUAGAAAAGAUAUCUUAAUUUUUGGCAACAUGAAACUCACGGAGAAAUGUUGAGAUUGCAUCAUUGACACAGUAUUAUCAUGAAGUUGUUCUUUCUGGUACAUAUCCAUAGCAAAAUCUGAAUUACCACCUGUGUACAAAUUCUAUGGUAAAAAAAAAAUGCUGAAGCCAAGUGGCUAACCUCCACUCAAUUAGAGUUCUCAGUUCCAUGAACAAACAACAAAGUUAACCAAACAAGCCAUCCAGGAUUCAUCAGUGCAAACUUUAAGACAUCGUUAAUUCCCUUACAAUAAAACAGGAACCAUUGAAGCAUCUUCACUGAAUGUAUGAAUGAUCACAAAGAUAUAUACCAUACACAGAAAGCAUGUAGCCCUUAUCCCUAUCAAAAUCAGAAGAAUGUGGGACAAAACACUGAUGCAUACUGCACAACGUUAAGAACCACAUGCAAACACCUAAUGAAGCAAACAUCCAGAAGCCCUUCCACAAGAAGCCGCAUAAAUUUCAUUUUACGAGUACUGUUAUACGUCUAGCUAUAUACUCUGUGAUAAUGAAUGCUGGACUUUAAGGGGACAACAAGACAAAAAGAUGAGAGUAGCAAAAAUGAUAAUGUUACAAUGGAUGUGAGGUCACACAAGAAAGGAUAGAAUACAAAAUGAUUGUACACAAAAAUAUUGGUGAGGCACCGAUUGAGGGAAAGAUGACAAUUUCGUUAAGGUGGUUUGGACAAGUUAAAGAAGUUCACUGGAGGACCAAUGAGGAGAGUACAUUGUAUGGUUUUUAAUCCUGUGAAAAAGGGAAGAGGGAGACCAAAGAGAUUGGAGUAAGUUGUUAAAGGAGAUCUCAUGGUGAAUAAUAUCUCCGAAGAUUUGGUCUUUAACCAAGCUGAAUGACAUCAUGUGAUCCAUAUAGUUGACCUCACCUAGUAGAAUAAGGCUUUUGUUCUUGUCAUCUCCAAAACAACAAAAAUAAUAUGAUUAAGCUGCUAAAUUUCCUACCAAGAGAUAUAUAACUAAUUAGUUCACAUAUAUUAAACAAACAAUAUACAACAC